rnacentral:lncRNA from 1 species
UUGUCAGAGUCAGCCAGAGGUGAGUAGGACUAAACUUAAUCUUUUAAAUUAAAUGUUUUAUCAUGUUUCAUGCAUCAUGAUUAUGCAAUAAGAUGAUUGCAUUAGUUUUCACGAAUAUGCCGCAUUGCAUCGAGUGUUGUUGAUGUGGGUGAAUGUCGGAUGACCCAAUUAGUCCAUGACAGGAAGACCAGGCCCCAUUCUACAGGCCUGGCACAGAGUAAGGAAAGACUAGGAUUCCAUUCUAUGGUCUAGCACGGUUAUGGGACUCGAAGACCAGGAGCCCAGAGGAGGCCCUGGGGAAAUGGUAAGUAAUGUAUGUUCUGACAGGAAAGACCAGGACCCCAUUCUACAGGCCUGGCACAGAGUUAACUUGGACUAAUUGGUGACAAGUUCACCCAACCCUGAUGUGAAUUGUCUGUGUUAUGAUGCAUUUCAUAGAGCAUAGUGUUAAUGUGUUUUAAUAGCUCUACUCACUGGGCUUUUAGCUCACCCCUCUCCCUUUUACCCCUAGGCUUGCAGGUUCAGGGUAGAAGAGGAGGUCGGUUAGAGUAAAGAAGUCAUGUUUAUGUAAUAGCUAGCAAUGGACAUGAUCGAAUUGUAAUGUAAUGUCUUAAUCAGUAUAGUUAUGUAAUGAGAUGAUAUAUAUGGAUAAUAGAGGUGUGCUUGACCAUAGAUUGUUGAUAUCCCUUUUAAUACAUGAUCUUAGAGAUUUUUUUAUGAUGUUUAUGCAAACCAACUCAACAUAUGUUAUGUCACCCAUUUGGGGGCAUUGAUGAGAUCCCACAGAGGGAUCAACGUUUAUGAUUUAUAUUAUGUACAGUGCAUGCACAGGUUGAGUUUGGUUGAUGUAUAUGGAAAGAAAGUUUUUAAUUUUUAUGUAUGUUGUUGAUCAUGUAUGGGAUUAUACAGGUUUACAGGUUUCAUGUCAGGCUUGCUACGGGUCCCGGCGGCCUUAAGCCGAUCUGGAUCCUAGCGCCGGUAGCGGUCCGAUUUUCGGGUCGUUACAUUCGGCCGCCGAAUAUGCAUGCGUUGCGGGUGUGCUUUAGGCCCCCGAAAGCAUAAGUGAGGGAAGUCCAGGUUCGGUCGCCGAACCUCAAGUUCGGCCGCCGAACAUGGCAUGCAUGCGGAGGCACAUUCGGCCCCCAAACGUGGUCUGGCCAGCCACUAUAAAAGGGUCCCUUAGCCGAAAACGGGCGAGCUUUUUCCCCAUUUUCGGCCAAGGUGAGCUCUCCGCCGUCCCUCACCUAUCUUUGAUGUUUUCCUCUAGAUCUUUCAAGAUUUUUCAUUUGUUUUAACUUUGUUUUGAAGAUUUGAGCUNNNNNNNNNNNNNNNNNNNNNNNNNNNNNNNNNNNNNNNNNNNNNNNNNNNNNNNNNNNNNNNNNNNNNNNNNNNNNNNNNNNNNNNNNNNNNNNNNNNNNNNNNNNNNNNNNNNNNNNNNNNNNNNNNNNNNNNNNNNNNNNNNNNNNNNNNNNNNNNNNNNNNNNNNNNNNNNNNNNNNNNNNNNNNNNNNNNNNNNNNNNNNNNNNNNNNNNNNNNNNNNNNNNNNNNNNNNNNNNNNNNNNNNNNNNNNNNNNNNNNNNNNNNNNNNNNNNNNNNNNNNNNNNNNNNNNNNNNNNNNNNNNNNNNNNNNNNNNNNNNNNNNNNNNNNNNNNNNNNNNNNNNNNNNNNGAAAGUGCCGCCGAACAUGCAUGAGUUUCGUCUUUGUCUGGGAGUUUCGGCCGCCGAACCUGCGUGACUUUCGGCUCUGGAGGGACUUUCGGCUGCCGAACCUGCCGCCGAAAGUGCCCUGUCCAGGCCUCCUUUGCAUGUUUUUCUAUGGUUGUUCCAUGAUGUUUUAGGGGGUUUUUGGGGAGUAGUUUAUAGUUAUGUUCAGGUAUGUUUGGUCCCUCAUUUGAGUCCACCUGUGUAGGUUCAGACCCGAGGAACUGAUGACCCCAGCAGUGAGUUCAGCUGCUUCGGUGUUAGCAGAGUCAGCAAGAGGUGAGUGGAACUAAACUUAAUCUUUUAAAUUAAGAAAUUAAAUAUUUUAUCACGUUUCAUGUAUCAUGAUUAUGCAAUAGGAUGAUUGCAUUAGUUUUCACGAAUAUGCCGCAUUGCAUCGAUUGUUGUUGAUGUGGGUGAAUGUUGGAUGACCCAAUUAGUCCAUGACAGGAAGACCAGGACCCCAUUCUACGGCCUGGCACAGAGUAAGGAAAGACUAGGACCCCAUUCUACGGCCUGGCACGGUUAUGGGACUCGAAGACCAGGAGCCCAGAGGAGGUCCUGGGAUAAUGGUAAGUAAUGUAUGUAUGACAGGAAGACCAGGACCCCAUGCUACGGCCUGGCACAGAGUUAGCUUGGACUAAUUGGUGACAAGUUCACCCAACCUUUAUGUGAAUUGUCUGUGUUAUGAUGCAUUUCAUAGAGCAUAGUGUUAAUAUGUUUCAUAGUUCUACUCACUGGGCUUUUAGCUCACCCCUCUCCCUUUUACCCCCAAGCUUGCAGGUAUAGGAUAGAAGAGGAGGUCGGUUAGAGUAAAACUUGUUUAUGUAAUAGAUAGAAUGUGGACAUGACAAAUCGUAGAAUGAUGUAAUGUAAAAGUACAGUAUAGUUAUGUAAUGAUGUUUAUGGAUAUUAGAGGUGUGCUUGACCAUAGAAUGUUGUUAUCCCUUUUAAUACAUGAUCUUGGAUAUUUUAUGUCGUUUAUGCAAACCAACUCAGCACAGGUUAUGUCACCCAUUGGGGGCACUGAUGAGAUCCCACAGAGGGAUCAAUGUUAUGUUAACGUAUAUGCUCAGGUUGAGUUUGGUUGAUGUGUAUGGAAAGAAAAGUUUUAAUUUUUAUACAUGUUGUUGAUCAUGUAUGGGAUUAUACAGGUUUACAGGUUUCAUGUCAGGCUUGCUACGGGUCCCGGCGGCCUUAAGCCGAUCUGGAUCCUAGCGCCGGUAGCGGUCCGAUUUUCGGGUCAUUAUACUCUCAGAGUUUUCCACAACAAAACCGUAACCAUAAAAUCUUGAGCUUGAAACAAAGGCCCAUCACUUGACAAAGCAAACUAAAAUUGUUCAACCUUGAAGAUGACGCACGAAUUUGGAGAUGAAUGGCUUCAUGAUCACGAGCAGGGUUGGAGGAAUAAAAUAAAUUCCUGCCCUGAUAUAAAGUAUCAGUGGUAUUUUCAUAUAAAGUACCAGCACGUUGAGCAGCUUCCCAAUUCAAGAUAUGAUGCAUGACGUCUUCCACAAGGUGAGCUGCUGAAUUUUGCAUCUGGUUCUAUAAUAAUAAAUCCCUUGCUGAUCAUAAUCUCCAUGCACAUACCAUUACAAAGUUUUUUCGAACCUUGUUUUGGGAUUUCAAAAUCUUUAGUAAAAAAUUAUAAAAAUUAUCAUUAGGCUGUAAAUCUCCCACUCCCCCUAACCUCCAAACUUUAUUGGACAUAGGACAAUACAACAAAAUAUGAUUGACACUUUCAUAUUUAUGGCACCAAAAACAUCUAGCAUCCAUAUUCACACCCUUUUGCCUUAAGUUAUUUUUUGUAGGCAAUAUAUUCCUACAAGCUCUCCAACAGAAAUCCUUCACUUUUGAAGGGACCGAAACAUUCCACAAAUUAGUCCCUAACUCACCCCCACAUUAAAAGAUGAUCUUCCUAGCAAGUCCAUACAAACAAAGUAUGCGGAUUUCACCGUAUACACACUUCUUUUAUUAAAGUGCCACAAGGAGAAAUCUUUAUUAUUGGUAAUACUAAUAGAAAUACUAAUAAUAGCUCUAAUAUCUCUUGGAGAAAAAAAAUUCAUUAAAAGAGCAAUGUUCCAAUCCUUCCCAUUAUCUUCAAAAAGAUCACAAACACGUAAAUGUGGUUCAAUAAAAUCGGGGUCAUCAUUCGCAAAAAAGGUAUCCUUCUUAGAAAUCCAGGGAGCUAAAGCCGCUAAAAUCUUCUCUCCAUUACCCACCCUCCACCUUGUACUCCUUCGAAUUAACUCUCUUUAUGUCAUCACACUUUUCCAAACAAAGUUAGCAUCAUUACUUACAUUGGCGGAAAAUAAAUAACCAUUUGAAAAGUAUUUUGCUUUAAACACUCUAUAACAAAGAGUAUUAGGAUUUGUUAAGAACAUUCACAGUUGUUUAUUAAGAAAAGACAAAUUAAAACUCUUAAAGUCCCGAAACCCCAUGUCCCCCUCUUUCUUUUUACUACACAUCUUCUCCCAUGCUAGCCAAUUAAUACCCCUCCGCCCUUCUCUUUUACCCACCAAAAACCAUUAACCAAUUUAUGCAAUUUAUUAAAAAUAAUAAUGAGAAUUAAAAAAAAUAUUCAUACAAUAUGCAAGUAUAGCAUAUAACACAGAUUUUAUGAGAAUUUCCUUACUUGCUCUCGAUAAAAAUCUGCUGCUCCAUGAAUUAAUCUCCUUUUUAAAUAGGUAAUAAGAUAAUUAUUUAUAUUAAUUAAAAUAAAUUAUUUAUAUUAAUCGAAAAAGGUAAAAAAAAUUUUAAAUAUGCAAAAAUUAACUUAAAUAAUUAACAUUCAAAUAUUCUUAAAUAGGUACCAAAGGUAAUUAUUUAUUUUAAAUCAUUAUUUAUAUCAACUCGAAACGGUAAAAAAAUGCUUAAAAUGAGCUAAAUUAACUUAAAUAAUAAUUAACUAAAAUUGGAUUUUUUUUUAAUUUAGAAAAAAUUACCGUCAACUGUUUGAAAAACAUCGUCGAUUUGAUUCUAAAAUAAUUAACUAAAACAAUGAAAAAAAAUUCCAUCCAAUGACAUUAUUAUACAAAAUUUUAAGGUUGCAAUUUUUUGCUUUUCCAAAUUAAAAAAUUUUUUUCCCAAACUCUCAUCCGAAAAAAUCGGUAAGAUAGAUUAAUUAAAAAAAAAAAAAUAUAUUAUCGCGCUUUAAAAGUGGUGGAAUUUAAAUUAUAAAUUUAAUUUUUAUUUAAUUAAUUAUUAUAUUUUAUUAAUUUAAUUUAUUUAAUUAUAUAUUAAAUUUAUAAAAUAUAAUUAUAAAAAUUAUAUUAAUAUUAAUAUUAAUUAAUUUAAAUUAUUUAUGAUUUAAUAUUAUAUUUAUUAAUUUAUAUAAUUUAAUUAAUUAUAUACUAAAUUUAUAUAAAUAUAGUUAUAAAAAUUAUAUUAAUAUUAUUAUAAAUAUUAAUUAUUUUAAUUUAUUUACAAUAAAAUAUUAUAUCUUUCAUAUUUAUCAUUCUAUUUUAUUAUUUUUAUUACAAUUAAUUUAUAAAUAUUUAUAAAUUAUAAAAACUAUAAAAAAAUUAAAAUUUAUUUUAUUUCAUAUUUUUUUCAUAAUUUUUCUCUAUUCUCCUAUUUCUCUCAAAAUACUCUAUAAAUAUUAAUUUUUAAUAUUCCUAUAAUAUUGAUAUCUGAAAGUGAAAUAUAAUUGAUGACCGCUGAUCAUAUAAAAUUCAAUAUUCUUAAAAAAAAAAAAUACUCUAUAUAGCAUGAGAGCACAUUUGAUCAUUCUUAGUAUUAUUUUUUAUAUUUUAUCAUUUGUAUAUUUUUUAAUUUAUUUUCCUAAGUAUUUACAUAUAUUUUUAUAUUUAUUUUUUUAAUAUUUUUUACAUUGAUAAAUAUAAUUAAUAACAUAAAUUGUAUUUAUUCUUAGCAUUAAUUAAAUUAUAUAAAUUAAUAAAAUAAAGUGGUAAAUAUAAUAAAUAUAAUAUUAUAUUAUAAAUAAUUUAAAUUAAUUAAUAUUAAUAUAAUUUUAAUAAUUAUAUUUUAUAAAUUUAAUAUAUAAUUAAUUAAAUUAAUAAAAUAUAAUAUAAUAAUUAAUUAAAUAAAAAUUAAAUUUAUAUUUUUAAUUGAUUGAGUGUGGUCUGCCACGCUCAUAUAAUACCGCAUUUUUAAAAUAUGAUAAUAUAUUUAAAUAUUUUUUAAUUAUUUAUUUUAUUGCAUUUUAAAACUGCGAUAGAGUCUUAAAAAAAGAUAAAAAUCUCUCAAUGUGAUGGUAUGCUAUGAAUUUAUUAUUUAAUAAAAUCCAAAUUAAUUUAAUAUAAAAUUCAAAAUAAUUUUAUACUUUUUUUUAAUAACCAAACUAACUUUAUCAUGACAAGUUUAAACAACGUAGACCAAUGUCUGUAGAUCCCCUGGAAACUUCUGUUACUCAAUUAACAGUGAAAGCUUAUAAGCUUCCUCGAAGGUGGCUUGGAAGCAUCACAGAAAUAUAAGAAGAAGACUUCCGAGUCUACUCCGUGUGAAGACAUGCUCGCUCUAGAUGAAAAUUUCCUUCGCCGUCCCUUUCAUUUUCCAUCCUAUAUAUCAUCUGAAGGAAUCUUAGAAGCGUUCAUGGCGGAAUUCGAUAUUGGGCCUUCUGCACGUCCGCUCUUGGACCAUGAAAACACCACCAUCUACCUAGAUGUAGACGAGGAAGAUAAUGGAAGUACCGACGUUGAUGACUCACCUCUUCUUUUGGAAACUGAGAUUUCUGUUUACGUUGAUGCUCAAGAAGAUGUGCAAAACGGUGUGGAUCCUUUGAAUCAUCAAAGGGUAAUUUUAUUUAUUUAUUUAUUGUACUGCAAAAUUCUUAGUACCCUUUUCAAGUUGCUUGCAGCUUAUUGUUGUUGUUUCUGAACAGGAUAUGGUCGUGGAAAGGAUUUUCCUCAUAGCAAAUUUCGUGGUGGAGCUUCCAUCAGCUGUUUUUGAUCAACUAUCAUCAGUGCACAAGCCACAGUUUGCAUUGAUUAGUAUGGUGAUGUCCUUGGUAGCUAUGCUAUUAUCGAUCAUCGAUCUUGCUGAUAAGGGUCGAAGAGAAAGAGUUGAAUGGAUGGUGAGAGAUCAUUUACCUUGGUUUUACUCCCCACAGAUAAAUUACAAGCCUUUGGGGACAUUUUCAGACAUUGUUGGACUGGUCUGCAGCAUCUUCCAAUGGGUUUUUGCAACGAUAGCUUAUGUCUUUCUAUCUCAUCACUCUGACAACCCUAACAAAUUCUCCGUUUGGCCUAUAAUCUUUGCCUUUGGUGCAUUGUGUUCCAGAUUUCCUAGGAACCCACGAACAGUAGACGCAGUCCAUGAGAGCACAGAAACUCAUCGAAGCAGACCUGGGUCACCUUCCCCAUCCCCAUUAAAAGAUCUACGUGAUCUCCAGCUUCUGGAGCUCGUACAUUUACCUAUACCUUCUCGUGUUGAAUGUUUUCAUCUUCGGGAAUAUAUCUGUUCUGACGAGGUCACUACAAGAAGGAAGAAAGUGGGGAGAAAUGGAAGAAAGAAUAGACGGAGAAGAAGAAGUAGAGUAGAGAGAGAGAUCAUAGAGAUGACUGAAUGCGAACAUAUUAGACCCUUUACCCAAGUUUUAUUACCAAGUAGAUAAUUCUAAUGGCAAACAGUUUUACUGUACAAUUUUUUUUAGUUGGUUGAGUUUACCAAGUAGAUAAUUCUAAUGAUGCAACCUUGUAAAUCAAUGUCAUGUCAUCAUCGACAAGGACUUCAAGCUAUUACAUUAGCUGUGAGAUUGCGGUAAUGACUGGUAAACUGGAACAUGUCCAACUCUUUCGACCAUUUUGUGGAUUAUGAAAAGUCAAGGGUCACCUUUUCCCAUCUGAUAUUUGUUAUAGAUUACAAGUUAAUUUUGUUUAUUUUUAAUUUGAGGGAUAUAUAUAUUUUUUCAAAUGAAAAAUAAAAAUAUUUAACUUGUGAUUUGACGGUUCACAAAUUAUUGAAGACUUGCUAGUUUUACAUCUACGGCACUUGUUUGUUUUUAGUCUACGCCUGUAAUUAACUCCGAGAAGAAUUGAAGGACGGACAAUGGUAGGGGCAGCUGCUGAAGCAAACUAAAUCCUUCGACGAUAUGACUGAAUUGGAAACUGGGUAUUCUAUAGAUAUCCAAAACGUCAACAUCGAUGGCGAUUUUGAGUCGCACAACACAGCAGAUGGCUUGAAUCAAAGGGUAAAACAUCUACUCUGGUUUCUAUCUUGUUUUAGCUGUUUCAAAUGUUGAGCUUCCUUCCCCAAGUUAGUUUCUUUUCGCUUUCCCAUAAGUGGGGAUUGCUUCUUCUUCUCCUUUGUGAACUUGUCCAUUUGAGUGAAAUGAAAAAUUUUAUGUUGAAUAGAAAGUUUGUUGUGGACAAGGAUUUAGCUUCAACCAUCUUGAAAUAGGUCGCCGGAGAUGGCUUGAAUGUAUCAGAGGCUGCCCUCAGCAUAGAUGAUCAAGAAGGGGACGAAAGCAAGAAGGAUAGCUCGAACCAAAGGGUAUUGGUUUAUUUAUUUAAAAGCUGUCAUCAAAGAAACUUUUCUGCAUAUUUCUAGCAACUUACAAAUGCUCUUUCUUUGCAAAAUCAGUAUGUGAACGUGGAACGAAUUUUCCUUAUCACAAAUUUUGUUAUGGAGCUUCCAUCAGCUAUCUUCGAUCAGCUAUCCUCAGUUCAAAAACCCCAGUAUGCAUUAAUCAGUAUGAUCAUAUCUUUCACAGUAAUGUUCAUCUGCAUCAUUGAUCUUGCUCGAACCGGUCGACGAGAAAGAGUUAAACUGAUGAUGAGAGGCCAUAUACCUUGGUUUUACUCUCCAUCUCCAAGUCACAAGCCUCUGGGGACAUUUGUUGAUAUUGUUGGAUUAGUUUGUGGAAUCUUCCAAUGUGUUUUUGCAGCAAUUGCUUAUGCCUUUCUGUGUCAUAAGGCUCAAAGUCCUAUCAAAAUCUGUGUUUGGCCUUUAAUCUUUGCAUCUGGUGUAUUAUGGUCUAGAUUUCCCAGGAAUGCAUAUGUCCUUGAACCCUCAGAAGUUAAUGCAGACAAUCAUGCUCAUCCUCAACAUGCCCUGAAAUUCCAUUACUUCAAAUGGAUCAGAAAAUUUUCAAAGAGAUUCUUUAGAGGGGUCAAAGUAAAGGUAAUGUAUUUUCUUUUUUUUUUUUUUUAAUCAAAUCUCAGUUUAUAAUGUGUGUUGUUAUACAGAAUGAUGAUGAAAAGGAUGCCGACGUGAACGCCAAGGUCAUCACUGUUUAUAAAGUGGACAUGCAUUGCGAGGAUUGUAGCAGAAAAAUUAGACGCACUAUUGAACUUUUUGAAGGUGAUGCUCCAUACAUUCUUACAUUCCUGUCUUAUUUGAAAUGAAAUUAUUGAAUAAUUAAUAAAUUCAUAUUUAAACACAAAAUAAACAUGUCUUGUCGUAAAAAUUUAAGAAUGAUCCAACUUAUUUAUGGUUGUGCUAUAAAUUUUACUGGUGUUGGUUAUUGAAGGUGUGGAAGCCGUAGAGACAGAUUCUGAAGGCAACACACUAACGGUCACCGGGAAAGUAGACCCGAUGAAAAUCAAGGCGAAGCUGGAGAAGAAAACCAAGAGGAAAGUCGAUAUUUUGUCAUAAAAAUCUGAAAUCCAAGCACGGGAGUUCUCUGCAAUCAAGCAUCUGUAACAAUGCACAUGUAUAUAUUAAAUAAAAACUACGUCGCUUUUCUUGUUCAGCAUGUGGGAAGGAACAAGGUAGCACAGGAAGCCGUCCUGCUACAUAGCUAUUUCCAACCGGUUUGCUAGAAAUAUUCAAAAUUUGCAAGCUAUUGUUUAACCGAGAGACCCUUAAAUUGUUAGGGUUUCUACUAUUUCAAACUAAGGAAAGUCGCUGUACAACCUUUCUUUUUUUAGAUAUAUUAUGCAAGGAAUUUUCAUUCAUGAAUGCUUACAUUCUGAAAACCACAAAGCUGCAUUUAAUUUCAGAGGCGUGCAAAGGUUUUCUCGAGCCAUAUAGAGAUUGGCCUUUGAGAGAGAUUGGCCUUUGAGUGCAAAGACAGAAGGGAGCUUGACUGCAAGACACGCCUGUUGAGCAGGAUCUAUGGUCUGCCUUAGUGAUCGGACAGUGCAGAGUGAAAGGGGUCGUUGCUCAACGGAUAGAAGUCACUGAAUAUCGUUGUAUGUUAUAUACAGAUCUCCUGGCAAGUGGAAAGUGACAGCAAGCUAAAAUCAAGAAAGCUCAGGAUUGAUGCCAACACUCUUCUUGCAGUAUAUAUGCCAACAUGAAUUUGGUAUACCCUUUUAAGCCUAAUCAACUAUAGAUUAUCCUUCGUUCUGUUGACGAAUUCCAAAGAGGAUCUAAUUUGAACAAUUCAUCUCUUGCUUAAGAACCCUUACAGCUUCCAUAACUCCAUCCUACAAGUUUGAGUUUAACAAAACUUGGAUGUUAGCAUUGCUGCAUUAUGUGUCCAAUGUCACAAACAAUCCAAAAUUAACACUAGUUAUACAUUUGAUUCAGGAUAAGGCAUUACCUCUAGAGAGAUCAUUUCAGCAAUUUUUUGAGCACGUAUCUUAACUUCAGGAGAUAAUGCAUCAGCUAUGGCUCUUGACAGCACAUUUGCAGCUACCCUGAUUCUGAAGUCAUCCAUUUUAUCUGGAACUAAAUGGUUUCGUUUCAAUGGUUCUGGAGCAACCCCAAGCCAGUGCAUCCUUUCGGCCCAAUAAAAUUGAUCCAACAUAAAUGGACAUAUCACCUGCCAUCGGAACAUGCUGAUUAGUGAUUGGUUAUUUUGAGACAGCGAUAUAUAGAGAGAUGAACAACAUUCGGAAAUCAAAUAUAAUACAAAUCUUUCCAUAAGAUUUCUAAGCAAGUUUGAGUAAGUUAACUAACUUGUAAAACUGCAUUUAUUUAACACACCAUGCCAAGCAACACAAUAAAAAUUUUGAAGAAGAAAACUAUUAACAGGUUAGAUAAGAAGAUAAAUUAACAAGGUAUUAGUUUUGCAAUAAACCUGUGGGAUUCCAGCAUGUAGUGCUGCAGCAGUCGAUCCACUUGUUUGUUGACGACAAGUAAUGCAGAAGGAGAUUAGCCACAUUGCAUGCUUUACAUUUAAUUAAUCUCCCAAUAAAGAAAAUAUAUUACCUGCCCCCAUGAUGCACUGCAGCCAGACAUUUUCUAAAUAGCCAAUUGUAUGGUACUGUACUGUUUUGCACAGGAAAAUAUGUCAAGACAGAAAAAAAAAAAAAGAUAAUUACCACACAUGCAACUACGGAAAAAGGGAUCUUAUUAGAUAAUUCACUUCUAUGAAGUCCAUAUGCAAUGUUCUCCGACAAUAUUGUUUCUAUGCUUAUAUAGGUUGAAUCAUAAGCAAUAACGCACACUCAACUUUUGAUAUGGAAAUAUAUUUUAUGAAGCAAGGACAUUUUCAAAAUCAAGGGAGAAACCUAUCAUCAGAAAUUUCAUGCAAAAAGUGGUAUUUUCAUACACUAAUCGAAUAGAGUUCCCUAGGAAUUUCCAUUAAUCAUUCUUAGUUGUUGCUGCUGCAUCCAAGUUGGUCUUUCCAAGUACAUUAGAAGUUUUUUUGAGUCUUUUAUGUUUUGGUUAACGUGUUCUGUUGGUUGGCUUUUUCUGUUUUUCAGUAUGUGUGGCAUCUGUCUUUGGGUUCUCCAGGUUUCGUUCUUUAGCAUGAUAAUGUCUAGAAUGGCUGCAAAGGUGCAGUUUUGGGGUUUUUUCUACAAUUAUCGUGCUAAUUGUUCCCUCCAAGUUUUAAUAAAAUUUCUCUUUAUCAAAAAAUGAAUAUUUCUUAUUUUGAUAGGAAAUAUGAUAUUGCAAACCAUCAUAUUGUUUUAAGAAUUUGAUAAUUUAAUUAUAUAUGCCAGCCUACAGAGUCCUCUCUCACCUGAGGCAUGUUUCAGAUCUUUGUUUUUCACUGUUUACAUAAGCAUAGUGUCUCCUUGAGGAUCUGACCAUACAUACAUAUUCAUCUUUCUAUCCUUUAAAAUUUAUGAAAAGAAUUCUGAAAUUGCAUUGCACAAAAGAAUAAGUGAGAAAACAAAAUCUCAUAUCCCAAGGAUGCAAAGACAUCAUGUGGUUAUCUAUUUUCUUCCCAUAAACUAUGAAUCUUCUUCUAUAAUCAUUUAAAGGAAUCAGAAAAUGCUCACCUAGGAAAGCAGAAGAGACGGCCAUCAAAGAGACAGACCCCCUCUUCAUUGUACUGCCUUUGAUCAAAAUGCAAAGUUUUGGUCGCAACAACUUGAAUUGCUUCAUCCAAAGGCUCAUAACCUGAAGAAAAAAGGACAAACCUGAAAUCUGUGAUCUCCAGGACAAUUUGAAUAACCUUAAGGAAUGCUUCAGGGUGCUCCAAAAAACCCAAGCUGCAGAAGGCAAAGACAAACAUGGAUCAAGAAAAAAAUAAGGUACGAAUUUACAAGAAUUCAAGCUCAAGUGUACAAAUAGUUAGGCUAGGCCAAGAGUGGAUUGCAUUACGUCAAUCUACUCCUAUCUUACUAUUUUUACUUUCCCCCUUUUAACCUAUACUGGUUAACAAUUUUUGAGAAAGACACCAAGAAAGCAAGGAACCUGCCUUCCAGCAGAACUUAGUCCUAUAAAAACAGGAGGCACCAUUGUCCCCAAAAAACAUUGUAACUUUACAUGAGCUGCACACACUUUUUCUUUUGUUCUGGUACUCCCAGGAGAAAGAAAUGCUGAAAUUUGUCCACAUUCGUUACAUGCAAACUGCCAUUCAAUAGGGAGGAACCAAAAUCCACAAACAUGAACAUGUGAUGGCCAAUAAUCUGUAAAUAUAAAAUGGAAGCAGAGAACUUCAUUAAAGAAUCGUUAAUGAUCUGAUUUGCAUAUAAUAAAAACAUUCAGGGUGCUAAAAAGUGUAAAGGGAGAACCCCUGAUACAUGGACUGAACUUAAGUGAGAUCUUCAAUAGACCAAAUAGAAACACAGAAAAGAAACGGGAAACAUUUUCUCUGCCUUGUCUCAAAGUACUUUGUGUCACUGCCAGACUCUAGACUAUUGCUUCUCACCAGGAGACACCACAAACCCCCAACCUCUAGGUUGCAGGCAGAUUUCCUAGACAUCAUGAUAAUUAACCCUCCCCUCCCUCUUCUGCUUUUUUAUUUUCCUUUAUUGAGAAUAUACAAGGCAUAUUAGCAGAGAACAGUUGGUAACAAUAUUGUAUAGUGUUAUAGAUUAUAGAAAGUAAAUAUAUUAAUAUAGGAAGUAAAUAUUGAUAAAUGGGUUAGUUGCUUAAUUUUAGGGACUGUAUAAUUAUAGACUUGAUUUUCUUUCCUGUUUAGAUACCGUCUUUUAUAUAUAAAUAGGUUGUAAUCUUUAUUAUGAAAUACAACAUCAAAUAUUAUAUUUUUACAUGGUAUCAGAGUCAGGUUUGUAGAGAUUUAUUUUCUCUCUCGUCAAGUUUUAAAUUUUUGGAGACUCAGGACUCCUGUUCUUUUGUGUUAUCCAUCUAGGAUAAUAUUUGUCUCUCACCGUUCACCUAGUAUGCCAAAGUCGACUUGCAGCUCCCUUGUCAGAUUUGUGGUUCGUUUACCGUUUGGGUGUUGGGUGAAGGCGUCUUUUUGAUACUAUUCAUUUGGGUUACCCAUAAAGAGUAACUUUUGGAGUAACUUUUGGAGACUUAGGGCUCUGUUUAUUUGGGUUACCAUAAAAGAAUAACAUUUGGAGACUUAGGGCUCUGUUCAUUUGGUUACUCAUAAAGGGUAACAUUUAGAGACUUAGGGCUCUGUUCAUUUGGGUUACUCAUAAAAGAUAACAUUUGGAGACGUAGCGCUCUGUUUAUUUGGGUUACUUAUAAAGAGUAACAUUUGGAUCUGUUCAUUUGGGUUACUCAUAAAGAGUAACAUCUGAAGACUUAGGGUUCUGUUCAUUUGGGUUAUUCACAAAGGGUAACAUUUAGAGACUUAGGGCUGUGUUUAUUUUGGGUUACUCAUAAAGGGUAACAUUUGGAGACUUAGGACUCUAUUCAUUUGGGUUAAUCAUAAAGGGUAACAUUUGGAGACUUAGGUUUAUGUUCAUUUGGGUUAUCCAUAAAGGAUAACACUUGGAGACUUAGGGCUCUGUUCAUCAGAUAUUGUUCACGGUAAUUAUUCAUCAAGUAUUGUUCACGGGAAUUAUUCAUCAAGUAUUGUUCACGGGAAUUAUUCAUCGGGUACUGUUCACGAGUACUGUUUUUCGGGGGUACUGUUCACGAGUACUGUUCAUCGGGUACUGUUCACGAGUACUGUUUCUCGGGUACUGUUCAUGAGUACUGUUCCUCGGGUACUGUUCACGAGUCAUGAAUACUGUUCUCGGAUUCGAAAUUCUAUUCACAGUAAGGCGUUUUACCAAGCUGAGAAAAUGUGGUCUCCCGUUCUAGUGCUGAAUCUAAAUGUCGAGUCAUGGCAAAAACCGUUUGUGAAGUUUUGUGGGUACGUCAAUUAUUGGAAGAAGUUGGGUUUACAAAUUCGGUGUCUGUUAAGUUGUAUGGGACGAGUUGAUUAUAUAUGUAACAAGUUGGACAUGAUUAACAUUUAUGCUCCAACUUGAGGGGGAGUGUUAUAGAUUAUAGAAAGUAAAUAUAUUAAUAUAGGAAGUAAAUAUUGAUAAAUGGGUUAGUUGCUUAAUUUUAGGGACUGUAUAAUUAUAGACUUGAUUUUCUUUCCUGUUUAGAUACCGUCUUUUAUAUAUAAAUAGGUUGUAAUCUUUAUUAUAAAAUACAAUAUCAAAUNNNNNNNNNNNNNNNNNNNNNNNNNNNNNNNNNNNNNNNNNNNNNNNNNNNNNNNNNNNNNNNNNNNNNNNNNNNNNNNNNNNNNNNNNNNNNNNNNNNNNNNNNNNNNNNNNNNNNNNNNNNNNNNNNNNNNNNNNNNNNNNNNNNNNNNNNNNNNNNNNNNNNNNNNNNNNNNNNNNNNNNNNNNNNNNNNNNNNNNNNNNNNNNNNNNNNNNNNNNNNNNNNNNNNNNNNNNNNNNNNNNNNNNNNNNNNNNNNNNNNNNNNNNNNNNNNNNNNNNNNNNNNNNNNNNNNNNNNNNNNNNNNNNNNNNNNNNNNNNNNNNNNNNNNNNNNNNNNNNNNNNNNNNNNNNNNNNNNNNNNNNNNNNNNNNNNNNNNNNNNNNNNNNNNNNNNNNNNNNNNNNNNNNNNNNNNNNNNNNNNNNNNNNNNNNNNNNNNNNNNNNNNNNNNNGGAGUGUUAUAGAUUAUAGAAAGUAAAUAUAUUAAUAUAGGAAGUAAAUAUUGAUAAAUGGGUUAGUUGCUUAAUUUUAGGGACUGUAUAAUUAUAGACUUGAUUUUCUUUUCUGUUUAGAUACCGUCUUUUAUAUAUAAAUAGGUUGUAAUCUUUAUUAUGAAAUACAACAUCAAAUAUUAUAUUUUUACAUAUAGAUUGGAACAGCAUGUAUAGUGUUCAGAAUUAAUAUGAUGAAGCAAAUCAAGGUUUGUGUGAAAAGAUCAAACCCUAAUAAACUCAAUCUUUUCACAGAAUUUAAAAGGACUAGCAAAAAAUACAAAGCAAACAAUUGAAAGAUGAUAACUUCGAUGAUCUCUACAGAAAACUGUAAGAAAACUGUUAUUAAUGCAUAAUCCUUGGUAAUUUUGCAUGCACCAAGGUUAGCAUGAUCAGAAAUCAUACUUUUAACUCUUGCCGGCCUUCAGCCUUUUGAGAUUUGACUAAAAUGAAGGAAGAAGAAUGAAGGAAAGAUAUACAAAUACAUCUCACAGCUUGAAGCACAACAAAGAAGUGAGCAAGGUAGGAGGAAAAACAGAGUCACCUGGGCAUUCAACAAUUUCAUUGCUAAAUCCAUACCUGUUACACAAUAGUCGAUCAGAAUUGCGUAUCAGCAAAAGUAGUCCAUGAUUAGAAAUACAUACCAACUUUUAAAGUUCUCAGUUUGCAAUUUUAGUGAGAGAAGCAGCAGCAGCAGCAGCAUGUAGAGAGAGAAAGAAUAGCAUGUUUCUGAAGAGAGUGCAUCAAAUGUUGAUGCCAUUUGCAACAAAAUUAUUGAUAGUCUCAUCAUUAAAAGGGUGCUCAUUCAAUAUAUAUUGUUGAGUUCGUAUCACUUCUUUAUUACUGUAUUUCAGGAACUAAGCCCUCAGGUGUCUUAUACUCAUGAUUAGUGAACACCAGGGUCAACUUGAUGUAUUCCCUUUCCUUCAAGCGGAAUUUGAGGCCCAUGAACAGAUUCCUUUAUCUUUUUUGCUCAUAAAAUAUUAAAUUUGUGCCAUUGCAUGAGUUGAGAAUCCCACAUUGGAAAUCUAUAAUAUAAAUGGUUGGGUUGGAACAUUUCAUUGGCUAAUCAUUUUGAUGUGUAAAGUGACUCAAAGUGUAGGGCCAUAUUAAACACUGUAAUUUACUUAGCCCUCUCUCUAAAUUUAACAGUAUGCUCCGAAGAUGUGACUUACAAGAGAAGGGGAGAUGGUGGCCAAUCAUGCCAUGAGGGAAGGCCUGUUACAGGAUCCUGCAUUCAUGGAAUAAAAUAUUUGAUGAGUUUAUAGAUGUAUUCUAGUAUAACACAACAAGGAUAUAUCAGAACAUUGAUAGAGUAGGAAACAGUGCUCGUCAUAUAAUUGAAUCAAAGAAACAAGGAAUUCCAUCUUCAAAAGCACCAACUGUAAAAGGAAUAGGACUCAGAUUCAGAUCAUCACUUCUCCAUGAUCCCCAGCUUUCAGUAAAAAGCGGCCACAUCCAAUGAAUCACGUCUUUCCAGCAAACCUAUCUUCAUGAAGAAGUCAGAAGUUUAAUAGUCAAGGUGCAUAUCAAAAAUCAUUCUGAAUAUAACAGGAGGUGUAAUAGAAAUAGAAAUAUUUUUUCCUAUCUAGAAAUGCUACACUACCAGUCAAUUUUUAAAGGAGAAAGAAAAGAUUCUACCAAGGGAAGUCAAAAAAACCUUGUUAGUUGGAGCUUCUUGGAGAUAUUCAUAGAGAAGGGGAAGCUCUUUUCUGAACCGACACUCAAAUGAUGAAGGUGCACUGCAGAGCACAUGAAGAAAAAAUUUUGCGAGUAAAAUAUUGUUUCAAAAAAAAUGAAUGCUGACAAUCAAAUAUAUAUAAAACUUUUUCUCAAUAUUUCCUGAAUAUGGCACUUUGAACUCGUACAUGUAAUUGAAAAAACAUCCAUACAUGCUACAAAUAAUUGUAUAUUCCCUUGUUUUUGCACAUGUACAUAAGAUGAAGAAAAAAUUGAAAUCUCUUGUAUAUUUAUUUAUAAUCCUAUGUUCAUAAAUACGUAAAUUUUUACAUAUACACUCAUUUAAUACAAAUGGACAUGCACAAAAAUGAAGAAUCAUGUAUGCAAAUUCCUUGAGGCAUAAUUCAGGAAUGUAAGACAAUAAUAUUGCACUACCUGUAUGGAAUAACAUAAGGAGAAGCAACUACACAGCGAACACGAAAAUGUUCUGCAAGGCUCCAUCCUUCCUGGCCCAGUAUGUAAAGAAAUUUUUUCUUUAUCAGGUGACACUUCUAUGAACGCAACCAUAGGCUAGAUUUUCAACUUACUGAAACUAUUACAUAGACCUUUUUUUUUUCAAAUUAUAUGGACUUGAAUUUUUAGUAAAAAAUACCAAUGCAAAAAAAUUGAUCACAAUAAAAUCACCCUCCAUGCUUGGGCAAUUUCCAAAAAUUCCUUCAACUACAGAAUAGCAUUCUUGUCUAUGUUCCCUUGUAAUAAUCCUUUUCUGAAGUGAGAAAGUUGAUUCCUCUGUCUCUGUAAGAAAAUGAUGCAUCAAAUACUUAAAAUUAAAUACAGAGUGGUUAAUUUUAUCCUUUAGUCAUAAAGUUCAUUUAAUUCCACAAUCAUAGACCUCAUAUAUGAUAUAUAGACCACUUCUCAUUUGAAAACAGUAAUACAAACCUGUAUGAAUAGAAAGGACAGGUGGUGAUUUAAUAGGAAGAAAAGCAACAUGUCUGUCUUCCAAAUGAGACCUUAAAUUCUGCAAAACAAACAUCAAUAAAUAACAUAAAGCCAAAAGGCACAUUGUAUCCAAAGGACACAGAAUAAGAAAGCCAAAGGGAAGAGCAUUUUCUUGUUUUUAUUUCUCCAAUAUGAUGCAAACCUCGUGUGCUGAGUGUGUUACCAGAACCACAUGAUAUUGUUUUUUAUCAUAAGCAAAAGCUGCAGCAAUGGCCUGAAAAAGAUACAGAAAGAACUAGAGAGUUCAUAUAAAACUAAAAAAGACCUAUCAAACACUAAAUUUCCUUAACAUCAAGAAAAUUCAAACGAGGAAUCAUCUAAAAAAACCUAUCAAACGCUAAAUUUGAAAGCAGAAAUCAAGUAGUGAAGGCUCUUAAUUAUAAUCAUAGCCUUGAAAACAACAAAGAAAGAAAAUUUACUUGAUGUUAAGUACUUACAGCAAUUGGAUAGACAUCGCCUUUGGUACCAAAAGCCAUGAAAAGCGCCACCGGUUUCCUCUUCUCCGUCUCCGUUUCCAUUUUCCGCACCGCUGAAGCUCGGAAGAGUUGCAGAAACCUUACUGGAUCCAAAUUGAUGUAGGCUCAAAUCGGGCCUAGAUAAAUUUUGGAAAAAGCUUGAUUUUGCUAAAUAUAAAUAAAAUUUAGAAAAAGGGAAAUAUUAUAUUCCAUAAAAUAAAUGAAUUUGCUUUUUUAUUUUUUAUGAAAUAAAAAAGAAUUACGGUAGAUGUUAUUCUUUAUUUUAAAAUAUUUUUGGGUUUCUUUUUUUUUUGAAUAAAAUAUUUUUGGGUUUCUUAUUUUUAUUUUUAAUAUAAUCAAAUGUUAAGUUAGAAAAAUGAAAAUACGUAAAAAUAAUGUGAAUUAAUUUUUUUUAAUAAUUUAUUAUAGAUUAAACAUAGCAUGAAUGAAUAUACAUUUACAUAUGCUAAUUAAUUAAAUUCAUUUAUAAAUUUUGUUAAGUUAAUCAAGACGAAUCCGAAACAUAUUUAAAAUUCAAUUAAAAAUGUUUACCAAUUAUGACGUGGAAUUUUGUUAUAUUAAAUUAAAAUACCAUGAGCUAAGCUCCCACUUUAUCUCCAUAAUCUUCUCCAGCUAAAUCUCAAAAAAUAUAAUUGAAAUAAUAAAUACUAAUUAUAAGAAAACUCUUUCUAUAAAAAAAUAUAUUAAAAUGUAAAUUUUAAGAAAUUAUUAACUAAUUCAUAAUUCUAUUAAUUAAAUAUUUUUCGAUUUAAUUUCCAUAAUUUAAAAAAUAAUUUUAUUAAUUAAGUAAUUUUUAUUUAAUUUUUAUAAUUUAAAAAAUAAUUUUAUUAAUUAAAUAUAUUUUUAUUUAAUCUCUAUAAUUUAAAAAAAAUUUAUUAAUUAGGCCUCAAUUUUAUAAAAAACAUACUAAUAUUUUAGACUUUUUAUAAUUUUUAAUGACUAAAAUUAAUAAACAAAUUAAUAAAUUAAUAAAUAAAUUUUUAAAAUGUCAAAUAUAUUUUAAUAUAUUUUUUAAAAUUAAAGAAUUAACUAAUAAAUUUUAAAUUAAAUAGUAAUUAUUUUAUAAAAAAAUUAUUGGAUAAAGAGUUUUUUUUUUUUAAAUUUUUUUUUGUCAACUAAGAGAUUUUUAUUGCCAAAAAUUGGAAUCACUGUACAUCAAGUAUAAUAAAGAAAACCUAAUGGCUCAAAAACAAAAGCCAAGUAAAAAACCAGCACUAUAAAUCCCUUUAAUCAAGAAUGCCUACAGCAUCCACAGCAACUCAUCCAUCAAAGCACACUCACCAACAAAGGCAAAUUCCAUUUACCUGCAUCACCUUCCCCAUAAAUCAAGAGAUCCAUUUGUCAGCAACACUAAUACACGGCAACGUAACAACCAGUAGGCAUUACACCAUUAAUCAACAGCAGCAACUUGGCUCUUCAUUACACAGCAACCUGACAGAUAACAAGCAACACAACAAUCCAGUACCAAUCCAAUCCACAUAUCAAUCAGCAGCAACAAACAAGGUUCUCCCUUAAACAGUCCCUAGCAGUUAUCAAGCCACACAGCAACAAUCAACAACAAUCUUAUGCAGUCCAGCAACAUCCCUGCAUCAGUUCAAUACUCCAGGAUCAUAGCAGAACUAAUUCUGCAGCAAUAUCCCUGCAAUAUUAUCAAACUAGUUCAAUUUUAAAAACAGGACCCAGCUCCAGCUGCACCUCAACCUUCCUCCCCAAACCCACCCCUUCACCACCUACUCCGGUCCACAUUACCAUUUGGGUCAAUUUGCAUUAGCUUCAAUUUUAUACAACUAGCAAUUAGCUUUUGGUCAACAAGAAUUUAUUGGCAACCCAGCAAUGUGUAUAACACUGUAUACAGCCCCUGCACACACUAUAUCAAACCCAAUACUAUAACAGGCCAAGCCUCUAUGUACAAACACCCCACAAAUGCAAGACCAUCACCCAACAGUAACAAAUUAAUCAUAAAACUAAACCCACGCCCAAUAGUUUUCCACAGCAGAGACCUUUGUUAUACACCAAAAUGCCACAAACAGAUUAAGGCACAUCAGCAAUUAGUAACAUAUUUGAACAACCCAAUCAGCCAACAAUGAACUGUUAUCAUUACAGCUACAUAGCAAAACACAGUAGAAAUGCAACCCACCAACACUAACCAGGGAUAAACCACCAGAAAUUUAUCAGAAACAGACAACCAUAAUCAUCCUAAUUCCAGUCAUCAGAGAAAAUCAGCAGCAUUCAACUUGAACAAACACCAGCAAUAAUCAGAAACCACAGAGCACAAGCAACAAGGAGGAUCUCCAACAGCACAUCAAUCAUAUCAGCAAUCACAGAAAUAGCACUCCCAGGAUGCCAAUGCAAUAUAGCAACCACAGCACACCAAACCCAGCUCACAUCAGCCUAUCACCUAACAAUACACCACCAUUUAUACAAACAAACCAACUCCAUAUACUCCAAUCCAUAUCUUUUCUGUUUACAUUUUCUUCAGUCAUGAGUAUUAUUUCUUUAAAGAUAAGUGAAUGAUAACAAUCAUGCAAAUUAGAAGAUUUCAUUCAUGAAAACAAAUCCAUAAUUGGAUUGAAAAAAAAAUAGAUAUAUAAAAGAUGAAAUUUUUGCAAUAAGAAAUAUGGGAUGGAGUUACCAUUACAGAAAGUACAGAAACAAAAACAUGAAAACUGAUGAGCAAUCACUUUUAGGAGUCUCAACUCUUUAUUUGCCUCUUUUUUCUUUUAAAAGAAAAUAAAUUCCCUCUGUUGUCAUGCUGUUUAUCAUUGUAUGCAUGUACAGAUUCUUAUCCAGUAUCUUCUCUGUUCUCUCAAUCUCUCAGCUUAAAAUUGAUGGCUAGUUGUUGCUCUUUUUCAUCUCAGGGUGAUCUUUGUUGUACUUUCCCAUGAGUUGAUCUAAAUCAUUUUCCAAAUCCUUUUCCAACUCAAGCAGCUCCUCCCAAUAUUUCUUCAUAACUGAAACCUUCUUGUUUCCGUGACUUUUUAUCACCUUCUUCAUAUCUGCUUCAAAUUCUUCCAUCUCUUUAUCCUGAAAUUUUAUGAAACUAACAAUCUCCUCCAUCCUAUUUGCACAUAGAUUUCAAAAACAUUGUAAGUCAUAUGAGCACAGGAUUGAACACAAUAAUUUUAAUUUCUAGCUAUGAAUUUUCUGAUUAAUCAAUAGAAAGAUAGGGUGUGAUGUAUUUCUUAACAAGCUAAAAGGACUUUUGUUAAAUGCUUUCUUGCCUAGAUUGUUGUCGGUCAUGUAACUGGUUUCACCUGUAUGCCAACACCUCCAUGAUAGCACAAAGCAGCUGUUUUUCCUAGGGACAAUGUUAGCUUUAGCAUGAUAGAGAAGGCACUUUACCUGCUUGUAUCCUUUAUGGUACAGAGAUUUGCAUUUGACUGCUCAACUUUCUCCCACUUUUCCUGUUGUAACUUCUCAAAAUUAUCUUCUUUUGCAUAUAUAGCCUCAUGGAUAAUUUUGAUUUGAUCCUUGAAAAAUUGUUCUUGGGAAUCCAUCUGAAAAAUAAUGCAUUAGCAUGGUAAUACAACAGUAAGAAAUUGAUACCAGCACAAAAGUAUAAAACAGGGAAAAAGAGGAGAAACUGGCUUAAUCCUUCCUUCUGAAUUAGUGAAAAUUAAUUGAAGGUAAUGCAGAAUUCCUACAAAUUAUGAUAACAGUGGCAUUAGCUAUUUCUUUGAAUACAAUAACAGAGGGUUUAAGUAGUCUAAAUUAACUACGUGACAGGAAAGAGUAUGAACUACUAAGACGAACAGCUUGUAUCAAUGUGAUUAUAGGUAUACAAAUGUGAAGACUAUAAUUGUAAUAUGCAAUUGAUGGAUUGAUACAUGAUGCUUUAACUCAUUCUAGUAAAACAGAGAAAGGGUGUACAAGGAAUUCUGAAAAUGAUUCUUGAAGAUAAAGGAUGUACAAGGAAUUCUGAAAUAAGAUUCUUGAAGAUAUAUUCAGUACCCAAAAAAAGAAUUCAUAAGUAAUGAUUGCUACAUAAACUGCAGAAACAAUUUCUUACAGCCAGUGUUAUCAAGACGAGAGGUGAUACUAAGGCAAUAGGGUUCGGCAAGAGACGCGAGGGGAGGCGGCGCCUUUUUGAGGUGAGGCUACUUAUAUAUAUAUAUGUGUGUGUGUGUAUAUGUGUAGACAUAUAUGUCUAUAUAUAUGUAUAGAUAUUAUAUUAAUUCCUCCUUAAUCAGUUAACAUAAUUAUAAGGAUAUAUAUUCCUAAUUAGUUAACUAAAUUUUAGGCAUACUUAUUAAAAAUAUGUAAUCUUUUUCAAUAUUGGAAUGAAUUUGGAUAUUGAAAAUCAACUAUGUAGAUAUUAUAUUAUUUCUUUCCUAAUUAGUUUAUAUAUAUAUAUAUAUAAUUAGUUAGCAUAAUUAUAAAGAGAUGCAUCUCUAAUUAAUUAGACUAAUUACAGGAUAUAAAUCCCUAAUUAAUUAGCAUAACUAUGGGGGUAUAUCCUCUAAUUAGUACCUAAAAUUCAGCUCUCCAAUAUGUAUUAGAGUUUGGUCUUUAAAAAGAAAGAAAAAAAAAAGCCAUGCAUGUUGUUUUCAAGAGGCGGCGCCUUGCCUCGCCUCGCACCUCAAGCCAGGUGAAGAAAAGCGCUCGCCUUUUGGAAGAGGUCUCGCCUCAUUGGUGCUUUUUAGCGCCUUUAAUAACACUGCCUACAGUUGAGAACUACUAGCUUUGUUGCUUGCAUGUGUUGUUCUUUCUUUGUUCUGGAGCACAAAUUUAAUUAUCUAAUGCCUCUUAAUUGUUGCAAGUUAGCAAUGUACUAUAUCUACAUAAAACAUAUGCAGAAUAUACAAAAUUUCUUCAAGUAUAUUUAGAUGUUAUGGUCUUAGAUAGUGAAUCGCGUCACGAGACAAUGGACCAGGAAUAAAUUCAUCAGAGGGAGUUCUUGACACCUCAAACUCGUUGUUGAGAGAGAUUUUUAAAUUUCAAAUUCAUUUGUAAUUAAUAUGCUUGUUUUAUUGAAUAAUUAGAAACUUCUUAUAUAAUGGAUGUUUUUACAAUCUUGGUACUUCUAACUAAAGUAGAAAUCUAAUACAAGUUACUAUUGAAUAACAAACUACUAAGAUAAGAUACUAAAAAUCUAAUAACAAAUUAUUAAGAUAAGAAACUAUUAGAUAAAUGCAAUCUACUUUUUGUUGAUUAGUUGAUAGACGUUUUCUAAAAUUUGAACUUUGUUGAAGAGUAGAUUUGGUCUAUUCAUUAUCCAUAAUGUUACUCCCCUCCUUGAAAAUAAUUUUAUCCUCAAACUCAAAGGUAGACUAUGCACCUUGAAAAUAAUUGAUAGACACCCAUAUAAUUUCAAAUUUAGGACAACCUUGCUAACUAACUAAUACUUUCGAAGCUCAGGUGUUUGGCUCAAAGGCUACAACUUUAUGCCUCUUAUCAUAAUCCUUUUUCAUGUGUUUGAGCUUUUUGAUUGUCGUAACUGUAUGUAGAUUUCACUCAAAGCUAAAUCACAUUCUUUUAAAACAUGAUUUACUACCUCCACUCUUAUAGAUCUAAGAAUGUACAAUGAUAAUAGAUCAUUUGUGCAAUUGCAAGAGGAAAAGUCGAGUUUGGCAUAUUAGAGCGCCACGUGUCCUUCUGUCCUCAAUAACUUGUUGACCAAAAUUGUGCUCCCUACUACUUGUUAUAUCUUGGUUCUAGUUUGUCCCCUAUUAAAGGUUCGAACUAGUUUAGAAAUUCAUCAAGUUAAGUCAUCCAAUCGUGCAUCGAAUCGUUACAUGAAAAUAUUCAAUUUUUCUUCUAAAUUUAUUGGAUCAACCAUGAUGAUUGGCUCAAAUACCAAAUUGUUAUGGUUUCAGGUAGUAAAUCAUGUCACGAGACAAUGGAUAGGGAAGGAGUUCAUCAAAGGGAACUCUUAAUGUCUCAAACUCAUUAAUAAGAGAGAGUCUUAAAUCUCAAAUCUCAAAUUUACUUAUAAUUAAUCUACUUGUUUUAUUGAAUAAUUUGAAACCCCUUAUAUAGUGGAGGUGCUCACAAUCUUAGUACUUGUAAUUAAAAUAGAAGUCUAAUACAAGCUACCAAUGGAUAAUAAACUACUAAGAUAAGAUACUAAAAAUCUAACAAAAAAUGUAUUUAUUGUUGAUAAAAUAAAAUCUUAGUUGAUAGACUUUUUCCAAAAUUUGAACUCUAUUGAAAAAUGGUUUGGUCUAUCCUUUAUCCAUAAUAAACUAAAAGGAAACCAUGAUAAUUAGCACUUUCUAGUUUCAUUGCAUCUGAUAGAUCUAUCAAUUUAAGCAAAAUACCAGCAUCAUAGCACUUAAGUAGAAUUCACAAUUAAAUCACAGCAUCAGUGAACUUUAUUGUGAUAAAAGAUACAGUGCAUCAUAUAAGGAAAUAGAUGAUAAUGAUAACAAUGCAAUUUGUGAUUCAAAAACUAUCACCUCUCCCUUGUUUUCUUCAAGCAACAAUUUAGUUUGUUGCCUCAUAAUGUGGCUCUUUUCUAUAUUCUUGCGUAGCUCCUCGCUCAAUCUGCUUACAGACUCGGCUAGAACUUUCGAAUGCUUUUGUUCUUGAGUAGUCUUGUCCUUAAACUUGACAAGUUGUUGGCUGUUCUCAUUUAUUUGCUUUAUUCGUCUCUCAACCAUUUCUUGGUAUGACCUUAUCUCAUAUUUCAACUUGGACCUCCCUAAUCAAUCAAGUUAAACACCAUUACCAAAAUUCAAUUGUCAAUAAGGGAGGUGGAGUAAUAGAAGUGAAAAGCAAAUGAAAUGUAUUGCCAUAGUAGAAUAUUUACAAAACAUGGUUGCCAAGUCACAUUCUAAAUUCUAGGCAGUAAAUACCUUCAAUCUAGGUCCCCUAUUCCAUAGUAAGCAUGGAGUAUUUGACUUGAAGAGAUGCAUUCCAACAGUUGUCCUAAAAGUAGGCUAGCUUUCAUAUUUUCAGUUGUUCACACACACACACGGACACAAAGGUAAGGAGUGGGGGAGAGAGAGGACCUUGAGAAUGCAGGUUGAAAAUAUCCACAUCUUCUUUCAAAGCCAUGUACCCAUAGAGCUGGCGCUUCCCACCUGAACAGAAUGGAACACGAUUACUAUUCCAGGCAUCCCUGUCUCUUCCUUGCUCUUUGAAGUGCUUGUGCAGACGAGCAGCCUCUAAAUAACCUGCUGCUGUGUCAUCAAAAAUCAACAUACUCAUCCCUCUAUGCCCUUGUGGACCAUAUGAAUGUCGAGCCUUCAGUGCAGCAUAUGAUUUGAAGUGAUCCAGAAGCUCUUGGUUUCCCAUGCCAAUCCACUGCUAGAAUGCAAUUCUUAGUAGAAAAUAAGUAGCUAUAACAGAUUCAAGAAGUCUGGCUCAAAUAAAUAAAAACCCCUAAUAAAUUUUUUUUGGAUAUGACAUUAUGCUCAUAUCUUGUUGUUUGUUCGCAUAGUAAACAGGCUAGCCUCAUCAAACAAAGCAGAAAACAUGACAUUACCUUGCCAUUUUCCUCCUGCUCAUAUCUUGUGUUCACAAUGACAACCAUUGGAGGCCAAACUAUUUCAUAAUCUUUGACUUUCUCAUUUAGACCUUGCCAUCUGCCAAAGGCUACACCAAGUGGUGCCAAUGAAAUUCCCCUCCUUCGUGUCUCUUCAUCCAAAGUUUCAGCAAGUACACGAUGGAGCUUUGCCCUUCUUGUCUUUCUUGUCAUGGCAUGAUACAUCAAAGGCUCCAGGCCACGAUACCAGUCAAUAGCACCAGGACCCCCUUUGCAAGCAGGGCAAUGCCACUUUCUUCCUGGUGAAUUCAUCUCCUCAACAGUUAGUUUUUCCAAGUCUUCAAAGAAUCCCUUGAACCAAUUGUUCUUCUUGCGCAUCUCAUGGCUCCUUUCACUCGUACACGAAUCAAAAUCAUCAUCAAAGAAUUCAUCAUCACUACUGUCAAAUAUCUCAUCAUCGUCAUCAUCAUUGUUGUUAUCAACAAUUCCGUUCUUAUCAUCACUAACACCACCAAGUUGGCAGUUGCAGUGUUCAUCCUUCUUCAUCUCAUCCCCGCCAUUUAACUGAGGAGAACCAACUUGAGAAUCAAUCCCACUCUGUCCCUGCUCAAUGUAGCUGUUCUGCUGAGAAGAUAAUUCACUUCCAGAGAUCGAGAAAUUCUGAAAAAAAGGAAUUUGAUUUGUCCUGGCAUUGCCAUUGCUAUUGCUUUGCAUCCCAAGUUUAUGCAUCAAAUUUGGACGUCCCCAUGCACCAGUAUAAAUCUGAGGACAACGGCCCUCUGCACUAAUCUUUCCAUCAUCAAGUGAAGAUUUUGCAUUGAUAUUUGAGACAUUUUUACUCAACGACUUAACACGGUGACCACCAGAAAAUUUUCUAUACACGCUCCCCAGCUGGGGAAAUGGAUCACUGUUAUCAUCCAUGAUGUGGGUCAUUAAUUGCCUUAUCUAGAAGCUUUCUUUGAUCAAAUGAUGUCCUGGUUUCAAUUUUUUUUCAUAAAAAAAGAAUCAGUUCAACAAUCUGUAGUUUGUUUCCUCAAACAAACAGCUACAGACAAAUUUGGGGCCAACCAAGUGGAUCCCAUCUUUGUAGAAAUGAAAUCUCAUUAUUUAAUUUGAAGGGCCAUCCAGAAGAAUGAAUUGAUUAAUAACAAAAACUGCAUGCAAACAAAUAUUAAUCUUUUUUUUUUUUACCUGCAAAUGAGCAAACAACUAUUAAUCAAGAACUGAAGAAACCCAGAAGAGAAUAUGCACUGACGUGGCACUAUUGCAUAUAUUUUAUUAGGAAAUUAAUAUAUAAAACCACAAGAUAAUAUUAAUAAGAAAAGGCACAGACUUCAAGAAACAAAAAAGCCACCGUUACGUAAUCACCUCACCAUCAGCUAACUGAGCUAUAAAUCUAACCCAGAAGAGCUGAAGAGACAUAUAGUCGUGCAACUUCCGGACAACAGAGAAACCAAGCAUUGGAGUUAACUAUUUCCAGACAUUAGCUAAAAACUUGCAACCCUUUUCUCAUUGAAUAGAUACAUUGAUUUAUAAGCAAGAAUGUGCCUCAACAAAUCAGGCGGUACCCAUCAAUAUACAUCACGAAAAGAGGAAACCAUCAGAAAAAGCAGAGAGAAGGGAAGUGAGAAAAUAAUGAAAGAUCUUGAUAAAUGUUUGAUUGGAAAUUAAAGAAAAAAAUCUUGCCAAAAAUGAAAAAGUGGAAGUAGAAAAAUGCAGGGAUGGAAGAACCUGGUGAUUUCAGGGGACUGGCACACAGAAAACGAUCACCUUUGCUUCCGCAGAUACGUGUUUUCAUUAUGUGAUGGCUUGCUGCCAUGAGUCUAUGAUAAGGAGGAGAAGGGGCAAAAAGGGAAGAAAAAAAAAAGCGCUAGAUUCGAGAGCUGCUUUUUUUUUUUAUAAUUCCUGAGAAAUUAUUAAAAAAAAAUAAUUCCAAAAUAGAGAACUUUCCAUUUUGACAGUAUUAAAAUUGAAAUUUUUUUAAUUAUUAUUUAAUUUUUAUUAUAUUAAAGAAUUUACUAAUUAGUUUUUUAAUUUUAAAAAAUAUAUUAAAAUAUUUUUUAAAUUUUAAAAAAUUUAUUAAUCAAUUUUUUAAAAAUAUUUUGUUAUUUAAUCUUUAUAAUUUAAAAAAUUAUUAAUUAAUUUUUAAAUUUUUUUAAAAUUUACUAAUUAAUUUUUUUGUGUAAGAAUAUUUCAAAUUUUUUUAUAAUAUUUAAUGAUUAAAAUUUAUAAAAAAAAUUAAUUAAUAAAUUUUCUAAAAUAUUUAAUAUAUUAUUUAAAAAUAAAAUAUUAAUUAAUAAAAUUUUCUUUAUUAUAAAAAUUAAAUAUUAAUUUUUUUUAAUUUUUGAAAUUUUAUAUUUUAAUUCCAUUGAAGUGUAGUCUCUAUACAUAUUUAAAAAUAGUUUUAUUUUUUCAAUUUAAUAAAUUUAAAAUACUUAAAAUAAAUUAUUAAUUUUUUUAAAAAAAUAUUGCAUUUUCCAAAGCACAUUAGAUUCAAGACAACAAAUCAAAACAUCAAAACCCACGAUCUAGAAUGAAGAAUCCAUAAUCCGAACUUGAUUUCGACCAAAUCAGCCCGGCCACCGAGUCACCAUUGGAAUUAUUGACGAAAAAGAAGCAGGAAAAAAAUACACUGACAAAAUGCCAACAGCAAAUCCAAAUGAAAAUUUUCGCAACAUCAGGAAGAAGAUAGAAAGACACUGCUAAAUAUAGACUUGCUUGUAAGCAGAUUCAAAACGGGAAGGACCGCGACUGGACAAAAGCAGUUCAAAUGAGGAUUAAAUAUAAACGUAAUUCGGUAAUAACUAUAUUUGAAUAAAUUUUAGAGAUGAUUUAAAUUUUAUUUUUUUAAUUUUUAUUUAAAAAAAAUAAAUAAAUAAAACCGUUCAUAGAAAGAAAAAAGCUGCGCGACCAGAGCUCAGCCAUCAUCAAGCGUAAAUGCAAUUUUAGAAAUUGAUUUUCACGAUUGAAAAUAAAGUCGCUAAUUAGAAAAUUAAAAAAGUAAUUUAUUUUAAUGAAUACUUUUAAAAAUAUAUUAAAAUAAAUUUAUUAAUUAUUUUUUUAUUAAAUUUAAUUAUUAAAUAUUAAAAAAAUUUAAAAUAUUGAUAAUAUUUUAAAUUCAUAAAUAGUUUUUUAUGUAUCAAUUCAGGAUAAUAAAUUUUAAAAUAAAGAACGCUUUUAUAUUAUUUGUUAUAUUAAAAAAAAAAAAAAAGAUUCUCGUUAUAGAGCAGCUAUUUUCACGGUGAAGUGUGGGGGAGGGGCUCCCCCACGUGGUUCAUCGUGUUAUUGAUUUAAAUCAUUUAAUACUUUUAAAUCAUUCUCUAUGUAGAAAAUAUUACUUUUAAAUUUGAUUUCAUACUUUCUCCAAACUAAAAUUUCAAAGGUUCUAGAUUCUUGUCCGAUAUUUUAAAUAAUGUAGUAAAUAUAUCUCUUUAUUUUAUAUUUUUUAUUAUUUUAAAAUUAUUUUUUUAAACUAUAUUAAUAUAUAAAUAUAUUAUAAAAAAUUUAUUAUUUAAUUUUUAAAUAUUAUCUUUAUUAAUAAAUCAAUUCCUAAAAAUUCAGUAAAAUAAUUUUAUUUUUUAUCUCCAUCAAUAAAAUAAUUCUUCAAUAAAAUAAUUUUUUUAUAAUGAUUUAGGAUUCGGACCGCUACCGACGCUAAGGUUUAGAUCCACUUAAGGUCACCGAAACCAAUAGCAAGUCUACUAUACGUCCUGAUACACCUGAUAAAAUCUCAUAUAUGAUCACACGAAAAUAUAAACAUAAAUAUUUCAUGAACCAAAACUCGAUCUGUUUAUGUACCAAAACUGAAAAUAUAAAACUCACACUAGAACCCUCAUCAAAUGCUCCAGUAUGGUAAACAUAAUAUGUCUCAAUUUUAGUUCAAAUAUAAACUCAUACUUAAAACUUUUACAUAAGAAUUAUGGAAACAGGAAUUACAAGGACAAAAAUUAGGGCAAAACACAAUUCUAAAACCAUAAAGCAAUACAUGUCUAUAUCUCUACUAUUACAAAUGACUAUACCAGCUAUUCAGCCGACUCUCUCGAGCUAACUCUGAUCCUGCAAACCUGGAGUUAGGGGAAAGGGAUAAAGUACAAGAGUCUAGUGAAUAGAACAUAAAAAUAGUUCAAUAAACAUAUAAUCGAAUGAAAUUCAUCGCCACACAAACAAUUCACAGAUUUGUCACUAGCUAGUAACUCUCUACAAAUUCCAAUAGUGUCGGGCCCACGAUGGGUGCUCUUCAAGACUUCCUCUUAAACAUAUCAUACUAUAUCCAUAAUGCUAGGGGUGUAGAAUGGGCAACCCUGGUUUUUCCCUUACAUAGUGCCAGAGGCGUAAAAUUGGCAAGUUUGGUCUUUCCAUAUCCGUCAUAACAUAUCAUACGGUUAUCCAAUAUCCAUCCACAACAACAGUAAAUUAUGCAAUGCAUAAUAUUCGUGAAUUCUAAUGCAAAUAACCUAAUAUAUAAACAUGGCAUUUGUAAUACAUAAACAUAUCAUACUAUAUCCAAUUUUAUUAAUUUCUUAAUUACAUUUUUGUUAGAUAAUAAUUCCUUUUUAAAAUAAUAUUUUAAUUUCUUAUUAUUGAAAUUUAUUUAAAAUUAAACAAACUCUAUGAUUAAUUAAAAUUUUAAUAACCAAUUAAAUUUGAGAUUUUUAUUAUAAUAAUUCUAAAUUAUUAGGGUAAUUUUAGCAAUUGAAUUACUCUCUUUCCUUUCGAGUUUUUAUAUACUAAUUUGGCUUUUUCUUUUUUUUGGUUUGUGUUUUUAAUAUUUUCCAUUUGAACAAAAGCUCAUAAUACACGAAUUUAGAAUAUUAUUUAUUUUAAUCAUGACAUAAAUAGAAUUUAAUAAAUAAAAAUUAUAUAUUUAUUCAAAUAAUAACAUAAAUUAUUUGAUAUAAUAAAUUAAUAAUUAUAUUACCUGUUUUAAUAGCAAAAUAAAUAAUAAAAAUAUACAAAUAAUAACAUUUAUGGCAGUAUGGUUGUAAUAUUCAGCUAAAUUUUGAUAUUAAAAUUUUUAAUUUUUGAUGAAAUUUUAAUUGAGAUUUAAAAUUUUAAAACUGAAAUUUUAAAAAAAUAAAAUAGAAUUUUUAUAAAAAAUAAAUUUGAAAUAUUUUAAAUGUGUUAAAAAUUAUAUUAAAUAAAAAAUAAUAAAUUUGUUUGAUAAAAGAAAUAGUAAUUUGUUUUGUAUCAUAUUUUACAUUUUAAUAUAUUAUGUAUAUUUAUAUAAUUUAUCAGUAUAUAAUGCCAAAAUAAUAAUUUGAUUAGUUAAAAAAUAAAAAAUUUGAAAUAAAACUAUUAAAAAAUAUAUAAAUAAGUAUAUGGGAAUUAAAAUAUAAUAAUUAAAAAUAAUAAAAUUACUUUAAAUUUUUAUUUAUUAUUUAAAUUAAUUUUGAAGUUUAUAUAAGUUUAAAAUUCUUAAUUGAAGUUAUGCUUAAUUUCUUUUACUCAAAUUUUCUUAUUAUAAUUGAAAUGGUUAAAUAAAUGUUUUUCUUUAAAAUUUUCUAAAAAAUUAAAACAUUUAAUUAUUGUAAACUUUUUUUUUCCAAAUAUUGUAAACUUUAAAAAUUAAAAUAUAUAAUUUGAUAUACACUAAACCCCACUUUAAAGAAAAAUAUAUAAAAAUUAAAAAUAAUUCUAUUUAAAUUAAGUAAUAUUUAUAACAUUUUAAAUUAAAAUUAAGUAAUGAAAAAUAAAUUAACAGAAAAUAUUUUUUAAAUAUAAAUUAUAUUUCACAAAUAAAUAGAGACUAAAUUGCACUUUAAUUUAUCCUUUAAUAAAAAAAAUGCUUAAACAUUUUUCAAUUUUUGAAGUUUUAAAACCCAAUUUAUACCAAUAUUGAGGUAAUAAAAUUUACCUUAGAUUUAAUUAAUUUGAAUUUUAUAAUAAAAAUUAAUUCUUUAAUUAAGAAAAAAUUACAUAUAUUUGUAAGUUCUCUGAUUUCCCUUAUUUUUGUUUCUCCUUCAGCUUCAUAUGGAUUUGUCAUUGGCUUGAGAUAUUGGAGCAAAUUUGAAGUUGGAUUAUUUUUUAAGAAAUUAAAGCAAUAUGGAAAACAAAUGUUUUUUUCCAGGGCCUGCGGUAUUCGGUUAAAUCCAAAAAAUUAAUCAAAUUGAAUUAAUUUAAAAUUUUAAUUUGAUUUUUUAUUUAUUUCGAUUCGGUUUAAUUUUUAAUUUUAAAAAUUUUAAUUAUUUCAGUUAGUUUUGAUUUUAAUUAAAAAAAAUCAAAAAAAUUAAACUGAAUCGAUUAUGUGAUAAUAACAUAUUAUUUUCAAUAAUAUAGAGAGAUUAGAUCAUAUUAAAGUUAAAAUAUUUCAAUUAAAUUUUAAAAUAUUAAAAAUAAAGUAUAAAAAAUAAAAAAAUUAUUAAAAAUUCAAACUGAUCAAAUUGAACCGAAUCAGACUAGUUUGGUUCUAUUUGAUUUUUAAUCAAAAUUGAUUCGAUUCGAUUUUUAUAAAUAUUAAAAUUUUAAUUUUUGAUUUAUUUAAUUCGGUUCGAUUUUAAACCGAAUCGACUGAAUGCUUACCUUGUUUCCACCUAACACUCAUGGUAAGCCUUCUUCACUAAUCUUUUGAUUUAUUUCAAGAAAAAUUUUCACUUCUAUGAAUGUGCUCAUGUUAUCAUACACUAAAAAAUAUAUUUUUUUUUAAUAAAUACAUCAUAUAUUACAAAAUCAUGCUAUUUUUUCUAUAUAAAUUCAUUUCUUUUGAAAUUAUUUAUUUUUUAAUUAAAAGAAUUAAAUUCUAUUAUUAGAAAUCCAGAUCAAAUUAUAUUAGAUUGUUUCCAUUUAAAUAAAAUAAUGAUGCUCAUAAUCUCAAUCCUAAUUCACAAAUCAUCACCAAAGUAAAAUAGGAAAGUAUGAGAAGAAUUUUAACUUUAUUCUAUUAUACUCCUCUGAAAAUAAGGAUUGAAAGUAUGUUUGGCUCCAUUUAAUGAGCUUGUCCAAGGUUAUUUUUUUAAAAACUUUUUAAUAAGAAAAUAAUUGAAACUAAAUUUAAUUAGUAAAUUAACUAAAAUAAAUAUUUUUUUGAUAUAUUUUCCAAAUCACAAGCAAAAUAAUUACAAUCUAAAAUCUAAACUCAAAGGAUAUGUUCAAAGCUUCUGAGAAUACUUAACCACUAUAAAAUAUUAUCGAACAAAAUAUAAGCACCAAAUGAUAGUACAUUAUUGACUAUAGAUUAUAAGGAAACUUAUUUUUUAGUAGCAUGUCAAGUCUCAAAUGUCUAUUUUAUUGUAGCUAGUAUUAUUAUAAUUGUCUAGACAGAAAGAUAGAGCUCUUAAAGAGUAUCCAGAAACACUAAUCUCUUAAUCAUAAUGACAACGGAGGGUUAUGAAUAGGUGGACUAUGUCCAGAUGGAGGAACAUAUCCCUUGGGCAACAUUUCCUAAUGAUUAAGUGGUGGAGGAUUAUGAAUAGGCGGAGAUUGUCCAGAUGGAGGAACAAAACCCUUAGAAAGCAUUCUAAAACUCUCAUCUCUUAAUGCUGGUGGCGGAGGAUUAUGAAUAGGUGGAUUUCCUCCAGAUGGAGGAACAUUGCCCUUAGGUAACAUCCCAAAAUGACCAAGUGGUGGAGGAUUAUGAAUCGGUGGAGAUUGUCCAGAUGGAGGAACAAAGCCCUUAGAAAGCAUUCUGAAACUCUCAUCUCUUAAUGCUGGCGGCGGAGGAUUAUGAAUAGGUGGAUUUCCUCCAGAUGGAGGAACAUUGCCCUUAGGUAACAUCCUAAAAUGACCAAGUGGUGGAGGAUUAUGAAUCGGUGGAGAUUGUCCAGAUGGAGGAACAAAGCCCUUAGAAAGCAUUCUGAAACUCUCAUCUCUUAAUGCUGGUGGCGGAGGAUUAUGAAUAGGUGGAUUUCCUCCAGAUGGAGGAAUAUUGCCCUUAGGUAACAUCCUAAAAUGACCAAGUGGUGGAGGAUUAUGAAUCGGUGGAGAUUGUCCCGAUGGAGGAACAAAGCUUUUGGAAAGCAUUCUAAAACUCUCAUCUCUUAGCGAAGGAUUAUGAAUAGGUGGACUUUGUCCAGAUGGAGGAACAUUGCCCUUAUCAAACUUUUCAAAAUGACUAAGUGGUGGAGGAUUAUGAAUUGGUGGAGAUUGCCCGGAUGGAGGAACAAAACCCUUAGAAAACAUUUUAAAACUCCCAUCUCUUGAAUAAGCCCCCUCAUCCAAUUUGGCAUCAACGAGACAAAGAGCAAAAACGACUAUGCAAAAUGGAAUUAUGCUAAUUGUUGUCAUUGUUUUAAUUUGUUUAAGAAAUUGUUACAUUGCAUGGUUUAAAUAUAGGUGCACCAUCCUCCAAAGCAUAGAAAAUAAAUCUUUCAAUUUCUAUUGGUAUAAUUAAUUUAUUUAAAAAAUAUAGAAUUAUUAUUAUUUUUUAUAUCUGUUGUUGAAUGAUUGGAUUUUAAUUUCUAUUUAUGAUUUUUAAUUUCUAUUUAUGAUACAAUUGACAUUAAUAUAAAAGCACUCAAUAAUAGGAAAAUAUAGUAAUAUGGAUUUUUUUUUAUUCAUUCUUGUGGUUGAAUUAGGAAAGUAAAAAUAAAUAUUUUUUUGCAAAACAUAUAUUUACAUACUUAUAUUUUAAUAUUUUUAUCUAUCAGACGAUUCAAUUUUAAUCAUAAUUUAAUAAAUAUUUAAAUUUUAAAAAAAUUAAUUUUAAACACCUAAAUUUUAAAAAUAUAUAUAUUUUAAAUAUAUAAAUUUUAAAAAAAUAUACUUUUAUACAUAAUUUUAAAAAUAUACUUAUAAAUUUUUAAAUAUACUUUUAAAUAUAUGCACUCCAAGGCUUAGCCUGGUGGAAAGUGCAUCCUAUAGCCUUAAAAGGUCUAAGGCUAAGGUUCGACUCCCCCAACCCCUAUUUCAAAAAAAAAAAAAAUAUAAUUUUAAAAAUACAAAUUUAAAAAAUUAUUUUUAAACAAAACUNNNNNNNNNNNNNNNNNNNNNNNNNNNNNNNNNNNNNNNNNNNNNNNNNNNNNNNNNNNNNNNNNNNNNNNNNNNNNNNNNNNNNNNNNNNNNNNNNNNNNNNNNNNNNNNNNNNNNNNNNNNNNNNNNNNNNNNNNNNNNNNNNNNNNNNNNNNNNNNNNNNNNNNNNNNNNNNNNNNNNNNNNNNNNNNNNNNNNNNNNNNNNNNNNNNNNNNNNNNNNNNNNNNNNNNNNNNNNNNNNNNNNNNNNNNNNNNNNNNNNNNNNNNNNNNNNNNNNNNNNNNNNNNNNNNNNNNNNNNNNNNNNNNNNNNNNNNNNNNNNNNNNNNNNNNNNNNNNNNNNNNNNNNNNNNNNNNNNNNNNNNNNNNNNNNNNNNNNNNNNNNNNNNNNNNNNNNNNNNNNNNNNNNNNNNNNNNNNNNNNNNNNNNNNNNNNNNNNNNNNNNNNNNNNNNNNNNNNNNNNNNNNNNNNNNNNNNNNNNNNNNNNNNNNNNNNNNNNNNNNNNNNNNNNNNNNNNNNNNNNNNNNNNNNNNNNNNNNNNNNNNNNNNNNNNNNNNNNNNNNNNNNNNNNNNNNNNNNNNNNNNNNNNNNNNNNNNNNNNNNNNNNNNNNNNNNNNNNNNNNNNNNNNNNNNNNNNNNNNNNNNNNNNNNNNNNNNNNNNNNNNNNNNNNNNNNNNNNNNNNNNNNNNNNNNNNNNNNNNNNNNNNNNNNNNNNNNNNNNNNNNNNNNNNNNNNNNNNNNNNNNNNNNNNNNNNNNNNNNNNNNNNNNNNNNNNNNNNNNNNNNNNNNNNNNNNNNNNNNNNNNUUUUGGUAUUUUUAUUGGAAUUAUAUGCUAGGUAUUAAAAUUUAAAGUUAAAUCAUAAAAAGACUAUUUUAAAAAAAAAAAAAAUUACAGUUCCACUUUAUUUUAAUUUUAUUGUCAAUUAAAUCAUAAUUUUUAUAUCUUUUCAAAAUAUUCUAUAAUUAUCCAUGCAGUUAGAGAUUAAUAAAAUUAUUAUGUUAUUAAAUAUAUUUUAUUAUAUUAAUUAUAAUUUAAGUAAAAUUAAUAAUAAUUUAAAAUUUUAUAUGAUAAUUUUUAAAAUUUAGGAUGGAAUUGUGAAUUUUUAUAAGGUUUUGAAUUUUUUUAAUUAAUUAUAAAAUUAAAUUUUUAUAAGAGUUUUUUUAUUGAAAAUAUAGUUUCAUAACUUUAGGCAGUUAAGUUGUCAUUAUUAAUUGUAUUUAAUUAUUAAUUUUAUAUUUUUAUUUUAUCAAUAAUUUAGAAAUAAUAAUUUAUUUUAUCACUAUUGACAUUGCUUUUCGAGUGCUAAGAUGAGUAAAUUUAAUUAGUUAUGAAAUAUUUAAAAUUAUAUUUAAUAUAAUUUAUUUUUAAAAAUAUCAAAAUAAUUAAAAUUUAAUUUUUUUAAGAUACUUAUUCUGUCUUCCUUACUCUUAACCAUAAGUACUUUUUAAACUGUUAAUUUUUAAAAAACAUUGUUAUAAGGAGGGGAUGAAUAUUGGAUUUAAAUUGAAAAAAUUAAUUAAAUUAAAUUAAUUUAAAAUUUUAAUUUAAUUUUUUUAUUUAUUUUAGUUCGAUUUAAUUUUUAAUUUUAAAAAUUUUAGUUAUUUCAGUUCGGUUCGAUUUUAAUAAAAAAAAUUAAAAAAAUCGAAUCGAACUGAUUAGUGAUAAUAAUAUAUUAUUUUCAAUAAUAUAGAGAUGUUAGAUAUAUUAAGGUUAAAAUAUUUUAAUUAAAUUUUAAAAUGCUAAAAAUAAAAUAUAAAAAAUAAAAAAUUUAUUAAAAAUUGAGACCGAUCAAACUAAACUGAAUCGAAUUGAAUAAGAUUUAUUUGGUUCGAUUUGAUUUUUGAUUAAAAUCGAAUCGGUUUGAUUUUUAUAAAUAUCAAAAUUUCAAAUUUCAGUUUAUUUGAUUCAAUUUUAUUUUGAAUCGAACCGAGCGAAUAUGUGGACUCUAAUUAUAAGACAUGUUGAUUUGGGAUAAUAUAAAUUAUUAUUUUUAAGUAAUUAAUAAAAAUAAAAAAUAUUAUAAUAAUAACACAAGUUAAUUUUUUUUAAUGUAAUUAAUUAUAAAAAUUUAAUUUUUAUAAUAUGAAAAACAUUUUAUAAGCAUAAAUGUAAGAAAUAAUAAUUAAACGAUUUUAAUAAACAAAUUAUAAUUUAUAGACAAUUUAAAAAAGGAAAUGGGUUAUCAAAAUAAUUGUAAGAAAUUUCCAUGAUUAGAUAUAAAAAUUUAAUUUUUUCAUCAAAACAUUGAUAAUAGCAUAGUUGUUAUCUCCAUAUUAGACUCACCACUAGAAAUUAAAUCAAUGAAUCAAAUCCCAAUUUCAUAAUUGUGAUUUAGCAAGAGUUUUCUAUUAAAUAUAAUCUAUAACAAUAUUGCAUAAUAAAAAUCCCAUCAGUUCCUCAUUAACCCUAUGGCACCUUGUAAAAUUUCACCCCUAACAAAACCCAUCUCCACUAAUCACUUCAUCUAGUAGAGUUUUGCAGUUAAAAAACUUAAAGAAUCUGUAUCUUCUUGCUUCUUUCUUGAUCGAGCUCAGAAUUCCUGCUAUGAGCAUCAAGACUCCUAUGAUUUUGAUGGAUGGCAUCUUCUUUAUAAACUUCAUACGACUAUUGUGAAGGUAUUUUUUACUUUUUUUUUUUUAUAAGAAUUAAAGUAGUGGAGAUUUGAAUCUGAUUCUAUCAGACCUUCUGCCACUCAAUUAAAGUAUGCUAAAUAAUUACAACAUUUUUUUAUAAAGGACCGACUGAUUAGAUUCCGUUGAGAGUUUUAAUCAAUUUCGUUUGAUUAAAGACGAUGUAAGAGAAACAAUAGGUUAGAAAGCGAAAAAUCUUAUUAAAAAUUUUUUAUAAAUUGAAAAGUGAAUCUCAGAUAGUUAAAGAAAGACUAUUUAUAAUAAAAAAAAAAUUCUAAUAUGUAAAAAAAUAAUUAAAAUAUAAAAUUUACUUUCUAAAUAGUAAAAUUUUUAUCUUGAAUUUUAUAAUAGGCCUGCAAUGUUCGUCACACUUUUAAAAGUCGUGCGUCUUAAAAUUUCAUUUUUAAAAGUUAUCGGAAAUCUCUAUCGGACGUAGAUAAUACAAAUUAGAUUCGGUUCAAAUUUACAAUAAAAUCUAAAAUUAAUUUCUAUUAAAUUUACUUUUUAAGUUAUAUUUUCACUAGAAAAAUCUGAGACUUUUUAUUUUUUUUUUUAGUUUUAAAUCCAAUGUUCAACCAAUAUUAGAGAAAUAGUUUAUUUUUUAUUUAUUUAAUUGGAAUUGGAAUUUUAGGAUAAAAAUUUUAUUAUGUUUUUUUCCCUUGAUUUUUGUUUUUCUUGCAGCUUCAUUUGGAAUUGUCUAUGUCUUUAUUGGCUAGAGAUUUUGGAGCAAAUUUGAAGUUGGAUUAAUCUUUAAGAAAUAAAUCAAUAUGGGAAAGCAAGGACCUUGUUACCACUGUGGCACUCAUAGUAAGCCUUCUUCACUAUCCUGAAUGAUUUUAUAAAAAAAAAAAGUUAUAAAAUAAUAUAAGUAAAUAACACUUACCCUUCGAACUUUAGGUAUAAGUAUUUUACCAAUUUAAAUUAAUCAGAAUAUAUAAAUUUUAGUUUUAAGAUUUAUUUCCUUUUUAUCUAAAAUGCAUAGAACCAAAUUGGAACAGGCACUCCACUAUGGAGAAAUGGGCCACCAGAGAAACCAGUGUUAUGCAAUGCCUGUGGAUCAAGGUACAGGAUUAGAGGAACUCUUGCAAACUAUACACCUAAGCAUGCCCAAGGGCAACCACUUGCUAAAAGGCUAAGAACUAUCUCCAAAUGCAGUUUCAAAACUGAAGAAAACUACUCUUCUUCUGAUGAUGAUGAUUCUACACAAUCUGCAAUAUCUUGUUCUCUGAGCUCCUGCAGCUUCAUUGGAAAUGAAGAGAAUGCAGCCGAAAGUCUAGGUAAUUACCAUUCAAAAUGAUGUUUUGAGAUUAAAAAAAUAGGGUUUACAGUGAUGUGUGAGUUUAAAUGGAAAAGAAGUCGUACCUCCUUUUAUCCCUUUCCCUACGUCUAAAUGUUUCUCUAUAGCGACGCCACCGGUUUCUGUCAAUCAGAACCGUAUGUAUAGAUAUGUCAUUAUUUCUCUAUAUGCCAGAUAACCAUUUAAUUGCUUUUCCGUGCGUAUGCGAGCUGUUGUAAAGUGACUGGGUCUGUCCUCCCUACCCUUGUCACGUCAUCGAACUAGACUUUCAAAAGAUGGGCCUGCACGAGUGCUUGAUCCGGCCUACUUCAUGUUACUAGACUGGAGCGCUCUGUAUGGACUGGUUUGCUUACGAUAAAGGCCUGGUGGGUUGGCUGAGUCUUCCCCAGAAGUCUGGUUUUACCUCAGGGCAGAAAACCCAAUGGUCAUUAGAAAAUUUGAUAUUUUUAGGGCAGAAAACUCAAUGGUCAUUAGAAAAUUUGAUAUUUUUAGUCUCAAAUACUCUCGGUGAAUCUGUAUAGUUGUUUGUUAUUGUUUGCAGGUGGAAUCCAGGAAAGCUUCUGGAAAUCAUGCAUACCAUCAAGAAAGAGGUCUUUAUAUGUUCAACGCAGUCUUACACCCAUUGAAAGAUUCCAGAGAGAGCUUCGCAAUAUUUUGGUGCAUGAUCCUUUGAUCUCGUCUGAAAAUGAAGAUGAUAUUCUCAUCUAUAAUUCAAAUCACCUGCGAGUAUCCCGCAAUGAAAUUGGUCUUGGAAGCUUUCUUCUCAAACCCAACACUGCUGCUUCUUCCACAGAAAUUGCCCCACCACCAGCUCAUGAGACAUUCUUCUCUCUUGUGGAUGUUAAACCUUCUCUAGUGGAUAUCAAGGACUCUGGUUGGAAGAGCUCUCUUCUCAAUCCCAACACUGCUGCUCCUACUGCUUCUCCCGCAGAAGUUGCACCACCAGUACCUCCUCAUGAGACAACCUCCUCUCUUCUGGAUGUUAAAAUUUCUCUAGUAGAUAUCAAGGAUUCUGGUUUGAAUGAUUCUCAAAUUAGAUCCUCAUCAUCCAUGUAAGUAGCAGGCUUUGUUCUUCUUUCUGUUUUAUUUCUUUUACUUUAUCCAUCAUUUGGUAGAUUCAUUCUAUAAAAAAAAAAAGAAUGCAAAUGAAAUCUUAUAAAAAAUUUAUUUCUUUUGAAAUGAAAAAUAAUUAAAUUUCUCAUUUUUAAAAAAAUUAUAGCAAAAACUUUUAAUUUCAAAUAAAAAUAAUUGAAAAUUUUUAUACUUUUAUAUUUAAAUCAAUAUUUUUAAAAAUUAAUUAUAAUUAAAAUAUAUUUAAAAAUUGAGUUUUAUCAUACAAAAAUUAAAAAUUUUAACUAUAAUUAUAAAAUUUUAAACUUUUAUAUCAAAUAAAUCAGCUAAAUAAACGUUGGAAGAGAAAAAGUCGGGAGAUAAAAUUGAUACGACGCCGACUUUACCCCUCUCUUCAUUCUCCAUAGACCAUUAGCCCUUUUGCUCCCACCGCCGCCAACGCUACUUCCUCCUACGUCGCCCGCAACGCCGCCACGGCCGCGGCUACUGCUUGGGUACGUUGCGUAUUUCAGUCAGUGAUUAUCUUCUUCAACUAAUGUUCCUCAUUUUUCUGUUGUCAAUGAUCAAAAUUCAUGAAUUUACUGGAUUUUCUUUUGAAUGGUUAAGUGUUGAUCAAUUGCUUUGUUUGUGAAGCAGCAAUGGUGGAUCCAUGGUGGCCUCUGUUAGGUGCAGCAAUACCAGCCUUAAUUGCAGGGCAAGCUUUGAGGAUGAACAAGAAGAGGGCUGAAGAGCAAAGGUUAAGGAGUGCUGGAGGCCGUGAAAAAAGCGCUGAUGAAAAUUUUGUUUGUGAAAGGGUAUGCACUUCAAAACGGAUGUUAAAAAAGGUUGGUGCUUUAUCUAAAGACCCAACUGUUGAUUCUUGUGUCACUGUUUGUGGUGUUUCUGAGCUUGAUGCUUGUGCUGAUGCUUGUGCAAGAACUGUUUGUGUUAAUCAACAUCAAGUACCCAAUUGGAAUGAUGUCUGUUUAAGGAGGUGCCAAAAUGAGUGCCUUAGGCUGUCUAAUUCCUCUGUUACUCCUUGAAGAAUUUCAUGUAAUUGUAAUUUAUUUGACAUCUUAUUUGCAAUAAAUUUGUGUUUUUCUAUUUCUUUGGUAAGUUGAUGAUCAACACUGACUAUGUUAGUCCAUUUCAAUUUGACCAUUUUCUGCUUGAAAUAGAAAUUCGUUUGAUUCUAUUAUACAUAUUGAUGAUUGAGUGGAUCAGCUCAGAGUUUCUUAUGUUUCUUUUGUUGUUUAAACUGUAGAUUUCUUCACAUUCUAGCUAUCUUUAUGAACUCUUAUCAUGCUCAAAUUGAUUCUUUUAGGUUCUCAUGCCUCUGAAUAUUGAAUAGUUUUUGAGUGUAUACUUAGCACUGAGGUUGGAAAUUUGUCCAAGUAAAUACCUUCUUAGAUGUUUUUGCAAUGCAUUUACAGAGGAACUUUAUUGAGUUUUUUAGGAGUUCUUGUGACCAGAACAAGUUAAAUUGUCUCUUUUCAGUAAAAAAAAUAGAGGGAAAUGUGGGACUUGAACUUGGGUAUUUACCCUUGUUGAGAGAUGCACCCAAAGGUGCUAAUUGCCUUUAAUUAAGGCAUGCGACAUCAAGACUAAUGAUGCCAAGCAGAUCCGUAGUAUACUCAAAGCUAAGGCAGGCACCAGUCAAAGUUCAUUCUGUUAUGAAACAUGUUUCAAGGUAGGAUUAGUUUAGAUAGUGGUAUUGCAAUUAUGAUAUCAAGUUCUCUUUCCGUUUUCUUCUUAAAGCUUUAAUCUUCAUUAGAUUCCAUUGGUGAUCUUUUCCAUAGAUACUCAGUGAUCUCUCCAGUUUUUAGCUACUGGCAAUUUCAACAGUCGUGUUUUUCCUCCCUUUAUUGGAGCGUAGAACUUCUGUUAUGGGAGUUGAAGUUGCUGGAUCUGGAUAUAAAUGAUUUUUCUUGUUUAUACAAUAUGUAUUUUUAUCUCACAGGUAAGCAUAUUCCUCCUAAGUUCCCAGCCAUUUAGGCAUGAGCUUAUGAAAAAUCUGCACACCUUCAUCGUUCUUUUGUUUCCAAUCCAUCUCAUCUUUGAGGCAAGCAAUUUGCCAGUAAUCUACAAGCCUACUAAGCAAGUAGGAAGAACUUAUGAAAACACUCCACCUUCAUCUCUAUCUUCUCUCAUUUGCAAUCCAUCAGUGAAAAGAGUUGAUGAAAUCUCAUUUUGGGGAAUCUUCAAACAAGUUUUGCACUUGUAGACUAUGAUGUGAAAAGUGGGAUCUAAAAUCCAAGCUCAGUAAGGUAGAUGCCAACCUCUUUUCUUGGGUUAGCAAGUUCUAGUGAGCAGUACAUGAGCAUUGGAUUUAUCAGAUUUCUAAAUGAGAAUCCUAAGUAAAAGGAUUCUUAUGAUGCUUCUGCUUCUACAAAUUUUAAAUAUUAAAUAAAAGUUAAGGAACUCCAAGAAUUAGUUAAAUAGCAAAUUUUUAGCUUUUUAGUAAUUUCAUGAUUUAAGAAAAAUAAUUUAAAAUUGUCAAUUUUAUUUGUCAUUAUACUAAGGAUAUAUUAUCAUUUUCAUUGUUCAGAGAAAGUUGAUGAUGAUAAUUACUUGAAACUAAAAAUCUUUGCAUCUAAUAUUAUGUGAGCAAUCAACUUACAUCACUACUCCACUUCAUAUAACACAAUAAAAAAAGAAUUUAAUUAAAUUAAAUUCUUAUAAAAUUUUUAAAAUUUAAUUAAAUUAAAUUUUUAUAAAAUUUUUGAUUUGGAUAAAAAUCAUUUGAAAUCUUUUCUUAUAAAAUGAAUCAUUUGAAAUCUUUUCUUAUAAAAUGAAUUCCGCUAAACGGAGGCUAAAUGUAUUUUAUGUUAUAAACUUAUUCAUUGCUCUAAUAUUAUUCAAUGAAAAAAAAAAUAGUUUGACUUUUUAUUAUAUUAUGACUAUUCGUCUGAAAAUUUAUUCAUUAAAAUUAUUUUAUAUUUUAAUAUUUAGAGAAAUUAAUUAAUAAAAAAUAUUUUUUUUAAUUAUAAAAAAUUUGAGCCAUUUUAGUUUGACAAAAUAUUAUGAGAAUGUAUUUAUUUAUCUCUAAAUAUUAUUGAUAGUAAUGAUUAUAAUUUAUUUGUUAUUUAUAUUUUUUUUCUAUAUAUUGAAUACUAUAUGGUAAAAAAUAACAUUCAUUAGUUUAAAUAUUUUUAUAGGAUUAUAAAUCAAAAGAAUUUUUUUAACUUUUCUGGUGGGAAUUAAAUAUUGUAAAUGAUUUUCUUUAAUUUCUCAACAUUUUCAAAAACAGUAUAUUCUAUUUUAAAAAUUUUUUAUAAUAAAUUAUUUUUCAUAAAAAAACCUUAAUAUUAUGCCCGAAAAUAAUUCUUAAUAUCACAUUUUCAUAAUGAGGAAAACUAUUAGUCUAAUUCAUGUAAAAGAAAUUAUUAGGUCAACAAAUAAUGAUUUUCUUAAUUUUCUUUAUAAAAAGAAAAAGGAAAAAUCAGAGACUAAUUCAGGACGCUCACGUCCUUGUUGGCGCGUAAAAUCCCAUUUUCGCUCUUCCCAUCGGCAGCGAUUUUUGCUUCUCUUACACUCCCUCCUGCUUCUUCCCUCCGACCCACCGCCACCACCACCUGCAUCUCAGAAUCUAUUCCCCUCUAUUCCGCCGCUAACAUCUCCUUCUUCCUCUCUCUCUCUGCCUCUCUCUGUGACCAUGGAUUUCGCAGCUCAAAGAAGUAGAUCUUAUCCCGUUCUCAUUAUCACUUGCUCAUUCUUUUUCUUAUCUUCAACAGUAAAUCUCUCCAAUGCCUCCAUCCACAUCUAUGCCAAAGAACCCUUCAAUGAAGUUGGAAAUGCUUACCUCCUUUCCGGUGGCAGCGAAGGCAUUGUCGCCUCUGAUUCUUCCGCACCAAAUGGCCGUUCUUAUAUCAGGUAACUGUCAAUUCCUUCUGAAUCGUCAGAAAAUGUGGGAUUUGAAGGAAAUGUUGCGGGGCGGAUUUUUCUGUUGGAAUUCUUUUGAUUGGAUCUAAUGUUGCAUUCUAUGAUGAAAAUAUUUGUGGGUUUUGGGUUUCGAGAAGCAUUGGGUUUUGCUCGAAAUUAUAACUAACUUGAAGAUAGCAACAUGAGAUCUGAGGUUGACAAUCGAAUUUUGGUGCCAUGAAAGCUGAGGAAUCUAAAGCAUAAGGUUUUUGAAACUACUCCAUUCUAAAUAUUUUGGCCAAAUAUUAUACUAUAAUUUUUUUUAAAAAAAUGACCCUUAGCUUUCUGAUUCUAGUAAAGUUAUAUAAUGGAAGAUAAAUUUAUGUGAGUUCACAAGGCUGCUGCUUGCUAUAUAUUUUUUUCUCAAAUUGCUAUAAUUUAAUUCCCUAUUAGCUGCAAAAUCAACAGUGUAAAAUAUGAAAAUAAAGCCUAAGUAAGCGGCAUUAGUAGUGCAUGAAAAAAUUAUUGAGUUUAGCUCUCUUAAAAAUGUAAAUUUUAAGCAGUGAGUAGGAUGUGCUGGCACAGAAAGAGAGAGAGAGAGAGAGAGAUUGAUAUUACUGAUUCUCAGAUUGUUGUGUGUAUUCAUCCCUGGAUUUAAUAGUGUUUCUGAUCCUGGUAAUAUAUAAUAUGUAUUAAAGAUCAUACCAUUUCGUCCAUUUUUGUUCUUGUACUCCUGCUUGUUGAAUUUUACAUUUCUGACUUUCUGAUGAAAGUUCACUAUCGUAUAAAUGCAAUUGAAACAGGUUUAGGGAUAUCACGUUUUGGAGGACCAAGGCUGCUGCCGAUGAGCAUUCAGAAAUGGAACAUAGUACGGGAUUGGUACAGGUUGUGAUUUUUGAGACAGCUGACCGGAAUAACAUUGGUGGUUCUGCUUAUGGUGGACAAAGAUCAAUUUGUUGCACCCCUGAUCUUGCUAAGCUGGAAGGUUGCAACCAAGGUGAAAUCAUUAGGAUACCUUCAGCGACAGACACAAAAUGGCCUAUUGUUUUGAAUGUACAAUUCAGUGGUAACUACUUAUCUACAAAUAUACGAGAUGAGUAUGUUAAUAUCACGAGAACUGGAAUGUAUAACUUAUUCUUCAUCACAUGUGAUCCAAAACUGAAGGAACUAAUAAUGAGUGGUAAGACAGUUUGGAAGAAUCCUGGUGGUUAUUUGCCUGGUAGGAUGGCCCCUUUAAUGAAAUUUUAUGUGCUCAUGUCUCUUGCAUAUCUUCUGCUUAGUGUUAUUUGGUUCACCCAGUACAUGAGGUUUUGGAAGGACAUAUUGCAACUUCAGCAUUGCGUCACAGCUGUUAUUGCCCUGGGAUUGUUUGAGAUGAUUCUUUGGUAUUCAGAGUAUGCAAAUUUUAACAGCACAGGAACAAGGCCAGUUGCAAUUACAACUUGGGUUGUGACAGUUGGAGCCGUAAGGAAAACUUUUUCUCGUCUUCUUAUACUCUCAAUUUCAAUGGGUUAUGGUGUUGUGCGGCCUACACUUGGUGGUCUUACCUCAAAGGUUCUUCUACUUGGAUCUACGUAUUUUUUGGCAUCUGAGUUGCUUGAUAUUACCGAGUAUGUGGGGAGUAUUAAUGACAUAUCAGGAAGAGCAAGAUUGUUUCUAGUCCUUCCUAACGCUUUCCUGGAUGCAUUUUUGAUACUGUGGAUAUUUACAUCUCUUUCUAGGACAUUGGAGCAGCUACAGGUAUUAAGUUGUAGUGACCAUCUAUUUCUGUUUAUAAUCUUAAUGUUUUGCUAUUAUUAGUGCUUCUUAUUUUUCCUACUUUCUUACUUUUGGAUGCCAAAAUUAUACUUGUGCAGGCAAAAAGAAGUUCUGUCAAGUUGGAUAUAUAUAGGAAGUUCUCAAAUGCAUUAGCUGUGGCAGUUAUAGCUUCUGUUGCUUGGAUAACCUAUGAGGUAUGAUGUGGGAAAGAGCACAUUGGCUUCUGUUCAAAUUUAUUACAUUUACUUGUAUUCUUUGUUUACUAUUUGGGAAUCAUAAAUGAUGGAAAAAUCCAAACAGAUCCGCAUGGGUUGUCUUGCAACAUGGAUGUAAAGUAUAUUUCUAUUUUACCAGUCAAAAGAUAAUCUUUAUCUUUUCUUUUCUAGAUUUCUAGUAACGUGCUUGUAUUGGAAUUGAAAACUUCAAGCAUAAUAGUUUUGUCUGGAAAUAAAUUGAAGUAUGCAAUACAUGACUUUCCUCUUGAAUGUUGAUAAAAAGAACCCCUCAUACCUAUUAUUUGCUGAUUGAGCAUAACUUAGGACCACUUACAAUUGUUAAAGCAUCAAUGAGCUUUUACCCUUAGUUAGAUAUUGAGACAUUGAUAGCAUUCAUGCUGAAUAUCUUAUUUCUACUGAAGUUGGAAGAAGAUUCUCAAAGAUAGUUGAUAACAAAAUGCAACCUUGUUGUUUCUUUUGUUUUUCCUUGUAAACAAAAUGCAUAUAAUUUGAUCUUCAAUUAUUAUGCCUGUGACUAUGGUUUGUUUAAUUUGUUCUGAAUCUGAUUUGCUUUGUUUUAGGUUUAUUUCAAAGCAACAGAUCCAUUUAAUGAGCGGUGGCAAACUGCUUGGAUCAUUACUGCAUUUUGGGACAUUCUUGCAUUUGCCUUGCUUUGUGUCAUUUGCUAUCUCUGGGCUCCAUCACAAAGCUCUCAACGGUAUAGUAUAAGCUGGAAGUUCUUCAAUUUAAUGUUGUUCAUUAGAAAAUGAAUAUGUAUUAGCAUUUUUUUUCUGCUGAUGAGAAUUCUAUUUAGGAAAGAAAAUAUAAUAUUGAGUGUGGACAUAAACUGAACUAUGAAUGAGUUAGCUAAGAGGAAGGAGGUCUAUUACUAUGGAGAAGGUGGUUGAAAUUCUUUUGAUAUAAGUGAUUUGUAGUAUGUGCUGCAAACUUUUCAUAAAAAAUAUACUUUGAUAAUAUUUAAAAAGGAAAUAAUCUUCAUUAAUCAUAAUAGCUAAUCUCAUUUGAGCAGGGGUUGGGUUCUAAUUUUUAUUCUUUCCCUCAUCUCUGAGAGGAGAUGGCCAAUUUUCACCUAAACCAUAUCACAACAUUAUGUCCGUUUGCCACCUGUUUAUGCUGAUGUCGUCUGCCAAAUUCCACAGGUAUGCCUACUCAGAAGAAGUAGGAGAGGAAUCUGAUGAUGAAGAAGCUCAUUAUCUAACUAGGCAAAAAACAGAUGGUGACAUAAAUUUAGUUGAGAAGAAACAAAAGAAUGUUGGGACCACAGAUGGCUUUGAUCAAGAGAAUGGAACAGAAGAGGAUAAAAGAGAAUGAUUAUCUGAAGCAUAUUUUUUCAGUAAUCUCAUUCAGCAGUACUAAACAACUCCUGUCAAUUUGAGCUCAAAAAGGUGAUUACCUGUUAUUCUAGAUAUACUUCUACUAGGCCUGCAGAUGUUUAAAAUUUUGACAUAAUGCGAUUCUACUAAAUCUCCGGGUGAAAAAAAAAACUGCCAGGUUUCUUUCUUGUAUUUCUUCACAGCAUUAGUUUUGUGAUUACUGUGUAAGUAUAUCAAUGAUCAAAAUGUGAGUUGGGAAAUGGAUACUUUAAAACUUCUAGAGUAGCACAUGAAAAAUUGUCGAAAGGAAGAGUUGAUCAAUUUUAAUGCCCCAUCUAUGGCUUGUAUCAUAGUUAAUAAUACUUUUUUUUUCUUUAAAAAAAAAAAAAUCUUUUGUUUGUUCUAUUAAUGGGUUUUUUCUUAUUUGCAACAUAAUUGAGCAGCUAGUAGUUUAGUACUGUUUGUUAUUUUGGCAGUGAGCGGGCUUUUUGCAAAAUUAGGGGCGGGAAAAGUUUUAUUUGUGGAUUUGGGGUUGGCAAAUUUUUAUUUGCCAAUUUGGGAUUCGCUUGCCUCUUUUGGCGCCUCUUUGAAAUGCGCCAGGCCUUGGCGCUUCUCAAAGAAGCGCCAGAUGAAGUCUUGGCGCCUAUCAAAGAGGCGCCAAGCAUGGCCUGACGCUUCGCAGACAAGAUGGCGCCUCUUAAAGAGGCGCCAGCCUCACCCUGGCGCAUCGGGAAGCCUGGUGCCUCGGGAAAACCCAACCAUCCUGGUGCCUCUUAAAGAGGCGCCAACCAUCCUGGCGCCUCUUAAAGAGGCGCCAACCCAUCCUAGCGCCUCUUUAAGAGGCGCCACCUUCACCCUAUAAAUGCUGCGCUCGUUUUCAUCUCUGCUCGAUUUCAUCUCUGCUCGAUUUCAUCUCUGCCACGCUCGUUUUCAUAUCCUGCUUUUACUUAUUUCUUUCCUGUUGAUUUAUUUUUUAACUUCUUUAUCCUCUUCCUCUUUCUGUUUUAAUUUAUUUAUGGCUGAUAUUUAUAUUGUUCCAAAAGUUUUACGAGGUAAAUUUGCUAAAAAUAGAGUAAAAAAAUGUGGAAAAAAUAUAUAAAUUAAGAAUAGAUUUUCGGAGCAAUUUUUUUUAACAUAUUUUAUGUCUUAAUUAUUAUUUGCAAGAAAUAAUUUGUUUUGGCUAUAACAUACGGAAUAAAAAAAUGGUUGAUGUUUUGAUUGAAAUUGUUCCGUUGUAUUAUUUUAAGAUUUUAAGUUUUAUUUGCUCAAAACCCGAAAUAGAAAAUUAUUCUGAUAUAGUAAAUUAUUAUUUUUAGAUUUAUGAAAAAUUGGAUUAUGUACCUUAGAUGCGUCUCCAAUCCAGUCUUCCUAUUUUGCAAAAGGAAUUCUGUAAAAGAGAGAAUAGAAGAUUAAGAGGUACGUAUUUAGUUAAGCUUAAUAUUUAAUUUUGAUGUAUAUUUUAAUCAAUAUAUUUAUUGACUUAUUAAUUUCAGGAGGAGGUGAACAUAUCAGUUAUCAAGCGAAUAUGUAUGAUUAUUUGGAACAAAGAAGGGGAAGAACAUUUAAAUCCGCAAAACGUUCAAGUGAAGGGCGCAAAUUCGAAAAAUAUAAAAAUAAAUAGAUACAUUAAAAUCUAUGUAAUUAGUUAAUAUUUUAAAAUCUAUGUAAUUAGUUAAUAUUUUAAAAUUGUAAUAUCGUUUUUUUUAUAAAUGUCUAUUUUGUUGUGUUACAUAUAUUUAAUAUUAACAUUUUUAUUGUUAAUUUAUUAGUAAAAAUUUUAUUUAAUAAUUAUUUAAAAAUUGGGUUUAGAUUAAAAUGUAUAAAAUAUAUUAUGUAGGUAAUUGAUCUUAAAUUAUAAGAUUUAAAAUAAAAAAUAUAGUUAAUUUAAUUGUAAUUAAUUAUAAAUGCAUAAAAAAUUUAAAGUAUAUUAAAAAUUACCAUUUAAUUUACAUAUUUAAAAUAUUAAAUUUUUAAUAAAACAACGGCAUUAUAUUUGUUAUUUUGAUAAAUGUGAAAGAAAAAAAAAAGUUUGAGUAUUCUAUUCAUUUUAUAAGUUAUUUUGAAAUUUGUAUUUGAAAUAUUAUAAUUAAAAAAAAUACAACAUUAAUAAAUUAAAAAAAUAUAUAUAUUUUAAAAAUAAAAAGCAAAAAUAAAAUAUGACAUAGAGGACCUAGCGCCACUUAUAAUGGCGCCAGGGUCUCUUCAUGGCAGAGAAUCUCUGCCAUGAAGAGGCGCCACUUAUAAUGGCGUCAGGGUCUCUUCACGGCAGAGAAUCUCUGCCAUGAAGAGAAGCUUGGCGCCACUUUAAGUGGCGCCAAAGACAGGUGUACCAGUCAUGGGGUGCGCGACGCCUCGGGACUGGUAGAAGACCUGAACCUGGCGCCUCUUUGAAUGGCGCCAGGAUGGUUAAGUCCCGAGGCGUCUUCCAGACGCGCCCCGGGACUGGUGGAAGACUUGAAUCUGGCGCCUCUUUGAAUGGCGCCAGGAUGGUUAAGUCCCGAGGCGUCUUCCAGACGCACCCCGGGACUGGUGGAAGACCUGAACCUGGCGCCUCUUUGAAUGGCGCCAGGAUGGUUAAGUCUCGAGGCGUCUUCCAGUCUGGAAGAUGCCUCGGUAUUGCUGGAAGACUGCAUUCUGGCGCCACUUUAAGUGGCGCUAGGAUGCAGUCUUCGAUAAGCCUGGCGCCAUUUAAAGCGGCGCCAUGUUUCUAUUUAUAAAUACCCUGCCCCGCCCUUACUCACCUCAGUUUUCAACUCUUACUCACCUCAGUUUUCAACUCUUACUCUCCUCCACUCUACUUAACUUGAAUUACAAUUUCCAUUUCUAAUCUCAAUACACCCUCCUUUCAAUUUGAAAGAAUAUGUGAAGGUUAGUUAGAUUAUUUAAUAUAUUUAUUUAACAAUUUAUGUGGUGUAAUAUAAUUCUUAUUAUUUGAUAAUUUUUAAGAUAUAAUGUAUUUAUUUUAACGAUAUUAUAUUUUUGGUGCUAAACAUAAAAUUAAAAUUUAUAUUGCAGUUUGAUAGACAAUAUUCAAACUAAGGCUAUUAGAUCGCAUUGAUUACAACAAACAGGUAUGCGUAAUUAUAUUGCACUUAAAUUUUAACGUUAAUUAAAUAUUUAUUCUAUAUUUAUUAUGUUUGAAAUGUGGAUUAGAUUUCACAAAAAUUAGUUGUCCGACUUAUGGCAUUGUACAAUGGGAUGAUCAUGUUAUUAGAACCGAAUUAGGUUACGACUAUGUUGGUGGUUAGCACAAUUUCUUCCGUAUGAAACGAAGGUUGACUUAUGAGGAUCUUCUUUUGAAAAUAGUUCGCUGUAUAAAUUUGUCAGACCAUAAUCAAUGUAUAUGCAAGAUUAAAUAUAGAAAACCAAUUAUUAGUGAUAACAAUUACAAAUUUGAACUAGUUCAGCUGCUCAAUGAUGACGAUGUAGAGUUGAUGUUAGAUUACGUAUGUAUACUAGGAUCUGAAAGCAUAAUUUUUUAUGUCGAUGAUGUUAGAGAUAUUCACAUAAAUCAGAAAGAUGAUUGUGCUGGUCCCUCUUAUACUGAUGAUUUAGAGAAUUCACCCUGUAUUUUGCGUCCGAAUAUUGAAGAGCAAGAUGAAAUUAUAGAAUGUGCAACUAAUCCUUUUUGCACUGAAGACUUUAACCUGAAUAGUGUUGAUAAUAUUGUCAAUGAAGUUGUUGAUGAAGAUGAUGAAUAUGUUGAUUCAGAGAGGUUAUCUGAUUCUGACAUUAACGAGUAUGAAAGUGGUUGGAUUGAGGACGACGAAUUAUUAUCAGCUGAUGAUAAUGUUGUUUCUCAGUAUACUAAUCCUAUUUUGCCACUUGUGCAUCCACCCCUAUUUUCAAAAAUAGAUUUUGAAUUGAUGCGUGUAGACCCUUAUGCAAAGCCACCGACUGAAAUGUUUUGGAAUCCGAAUAAAGAGUUUUUUGUUAGGAUAAUUUUUCCGAACAGAGAUGCUGUCAUAGCUGCAGCAAAGGAGUAUCAUUUGCGUAGACAUCAUAAGUUUUGUUUUGAUGAGACCAAGACAAAAACAUAUAGUAUUAAAUGCAAAUAUAAAAAAUAUAACUGUAAAUGACAUCUGCGUGCAUCAAUGAAGGAGAGAUCUGAGGUUUGGCGAAUUGUAUCGUAUGAUGGGCCGCAUACAUAUUCUAAUCCAAUGGUUAAAAAAGACCAUCCUCAAUUGGAUAAUAAAUUUAUAUGUCAAUUUAUCUUGCCUAUGAUAGAAGAACAGUCACACAUUAAAAUAAAAACACUUCAGGCAGAAGUUAGAGAUAAAAUUGGAUAUGAACCAACAUAUUCAAAGACAUAGAAGGCAAAACAAUUUGCAAUUAGGAAAAUUUUUAGUGGAUGUGAUGAAUCGUAUGGAAGGCUCCAUAAGUACAUGAAUGCAGUGUGCCACUUCAAUCCUGGUUCAAUCUUCGUAAUUGAAGAUGAUCCCCAUUACAUAAACGAUCGUUUGGAUCGUACUUCUCGUGUAUUUGAUCGCAUGUUUUGGGCUUAUCGUCAAUCUAUUGAAGGAUUCAAGCAUUGUCGACCAGUAAUUUUUGUUGAAAGUACGUUCCUAUACGGUAAAUAUAGUGGGUGUAUAUUGUGUGCAACACGGCUUGAUGAAAAUAAUCAGAUAUUUCCAUUGGCUUUUGCAAUUGUCGAUGUAAUACCCGGCUAGAUUCCGGUAUCGGAAUCCCUACUUUCCGGCGGAAUCUCCGUUGGAAUCUGGAAUUCUGAAGAUGCCAGAGUCUUCUAGAGGGGUAAAAUAUGUUUCUAAAAUGUUUUCACAUGAUUUUAUUGUUUUAAAUGGAAAAGAAAUUGAGUUUGAAAAGAAUAGGCCACGGAGGAAGGACCCAGGUUCGGCCGCCGAACCUCAAGUUCGGCCGCCGAACAUGGAGGUGUUUCGGGAGUGCUUUAGGCUUCCAAAGGCUUUGAGGGAAGAAACCAGGUUCGGCUGCCGAACCCCAAGUUCGGCCGCCGAACGUGGUGAAGUUUAGGAGGCAAUUUUGGCCACCGAAGGAGGUUUGGCCGGCUACUUAUAAAAGGCCCUCAGACCGAAAAUGGGUGAGUUUUCUCCCCAUUCUCGAGCUCAGGUGAGUUCUUGCCUCCUUUGGUUCAUUUCAUGACUUUUCUUCAAUCUCCCAAGGUUUUUAUAAGUUUUAUGGUUGUUUUGUAGAGUUUUAAAGCUUGAAUCAAGUUUUGGGAACUUGGAGACCCAAGGAGCUAGUUUCCUCCCAUCUCCAAGUUAGGGAUCGCGUCAACCCUCGAUCUUCAAGAGGUAAGUGUAGAUCCUUGCUUCCCUUUGUGUUUAAUGAAGUUUUAAGUAAGUUUAAGGAAGUUUUAAUGCUUGAGUAUGGGUAGAUAUGCAUGUUGAGGUUUAUGUGGGUUUAUACUCAUUGUAUGUUUAUGUGAUGAUGUGUUGAAGGUUUAGGCUAGUUUAUGCUUGUGGGAGUGUGUAUGCAUGUUUGGGAGAGAGCAUGUGAGGUUUUGGGUUGUUUUGGAAGGUUUGGAGGCUGGUAAUGCAUGAGAAGGUUGAGUUCUGUCCUUCUGGAAGAACUUAGGUUCGGCCGCCGAAGGUACUUUCGGCCGUCGAACCUACUUGUGGUGGCUUGUUUUGGCUGCCGAACCCUGCCCCCGAAAGUUGGACUUUCGGCUCUAGAGGGGAGUUUCGGCCGCCGAAGGUGCCGCCGAACAUGCAUGAGUUUCGUCUCUGGAAGGGGUUUCGGCUGCCGAAAGCGCCCCCAAAAGUGCCUGACUUUCGGAUUUGGGAGAACCUUCGGCCGCCGAACUUGUCGCCGAACCUGCAUGGCUUUCGGCUCUGGAAGGCACAUUCAGCCGCCGAAAGUGCCCUGUCCAGCCCUUUCUUGGGUGUUUUCUAUGCAUGUUUUGGUGCUGUUUUAGGGGGUUUUUGGGGAGUUGUUUAUGAGUUGUUUAGAGUGUGUUUGACACCUCAUUCGAGUCCACCUGCGUAGGAUCGGACCCGAAAGACCGAGGAGGCCAGCAGAGUUAGCUGUUGCAGAGUCAGUCUAGCGUCUGCCAGAGGUGAGUAGAACUAACUCAAAUGUUUUAAGCAUGUUUCACGCAUCAUGAAUACCAUGUAUAUGUAGUAGAUUGCUUGCAUUAGAAAUCACGAAUAUGCUGCAUUGCAUAAAUUGUUGUUGAUGUGGAUGGACCAAGGCGACCCCAAUAGCCCUAGCUAUGAUAUGUUAAUGAAGUCCUGAGGAGCCCCUUGAGGGCCGGGCAUAAUGAAGUCCUGAGGAGCCCGAAGGGCCGGGCACUAUGAUAUGUUACAGACAGAGGGAGUUUUGGUGGUCAUGUCCAACCGUGAUGUGAAAUAUUUGUGCUGUGACGCAUUCCAUGAAAACAUAUGAUUUAUUACUGUUUCCCUGUUCUGCUUACUGGGCUUUUUAGCUCACCUCUUUCCCCUAACCCCCAGGUUUGCAGGUAUGAGGGCGUUCGGAAAGUCGGCAAGGGUAAUGUUAUGCUUAUGUAAUAGAUUAGUGCUUUAGUGUGGACAUGUAAUGGAAAUUGAUAUAAUGUAUUGCAAGAUAAUGUAAUAAAAUGUAACGUAAAGUAGAGUUAUGUUUAUGGAUGAGUACUGUGCUUGGCCCUAAGACUUGGUUAGUCCCUUUUUAGUACAUGAUGUAUGUAAUGUUUUAAUGUUGAGUUGAGUUUGAACCAAACUUGUGGCAUGUGAUGUUUACCACGCUAGAGUAUUUGAUGAGGACUCUAGUGGAGGUCUUAUGUUUAUGGUUUGGAUGCAUGCACAGGUUAGGUUUUGGUUCAUCGGAUGUGAGUCCAGCUUGAUGUAUGUUAUGUUGACCCAGCUAGAGCUUUUGUUGAGGGCUCUAGUAGGGGGUUUCUUUAUGUUUUCAGUUAUGUGGCAUACAGGUCAAGCUCAAUAUAUACAUCGGAUGUUUAAGUUUUUAUGUUAAUGUUUUGAUCAUGUAUGGGAUUUGACCAAGUGACAGGAUGCAUGUUAGGCUUGCUACGGGUCCCGGCGGCCUUAAGCCGAUCUGGAUCCUAGCGCCGGUAGCGGUCCGGUUUCCGGGUCGUUACAGUCGAGAAGGAGGAUUCAGAUAAUUGGGAUGGUUCAUGUCUUGUUUGAGAGCUUAUGUCACAGAACGCGAAGAUUUAUGUGUCAUUUCUGAUUGUCACAUUGGAAUUAAGAAAUCUAUGGAACAAGAUUGGUGGCAACCACCAAGUGGACACCAUCGAUACUGCAUACAGCACAUUUUGAGCAAUUACAACACAAAAUUCAAGAAUACAACAGUGAAGGAAUAUUUGCGAAAGGCUGGUAAAACUUCAUUUGCGAGUACUUAUUUUAAAUUUAAAUUUUUAUUGUAUAUAACCUAUUCAUAUUCAAUAAUAUAUUUUUACCGUAACAGCUAAUCAUAACCAAAAGAGGAAAUUCUAUGACACGAUGAAUAAAAUUAAGGAAGUAAAUCUCGAGACCUUUGAAUGGGCUGUGAAGAUUCCUUUGGAGAAGUGGACUCGUUCCCAUGAUGGUGGGAAGCGAUAUGGAUCAAUGACGACUAAUACCAUUGAGUCUGUCAAUGGAAUGUUGAAAGGCUUUCGAGCUUUACCUAUUACAGCAAUGGUUGAAAAAAUAUUUUAUCAAUGUGCGUAUUACUUCGAUACUAGAAGGAGUCAAUUUCUUCGGUAGCAACAAGAUGGCUAUAGAUUCACCCAGUCAACUGGUUAAAUCGUACAAAAAAUACACAGUCAGCAAAUGGCCAUCGUGUUACUACAUUUAAUCGUGAUGAUUUGGUUGUUGAAGUCCGAAGUGCAAAAUCAGGUCAAAAACAAGUUGUUAAGCUUAUAGAAGGGACCUGUACUUGCGGUAAAUUUCAAGAGAUGCGUAUCCCAUGUUCACAUGCCAUAGCAGCAUGCAUGUCGAGGUCUGUGGAUUAUGAGCAAUUCGUUGAUAGCUACUACACUCUCGAAAGGUCAAUUAAAUGUUACGAAGACAUGUUCAUUCCAUUAGGUAAUUCAGACUAUUGGCCUGCAGAUUAUGAAUUACCACUAAUUCCAAACAAGAACCGAAUUAGGAAAAAAGGACGACCAAAGUCAUCGAGGAUCCAGAAUGAAAUGGAUUGGAGGGUUGCAAAAGUUAAUAUUCCUGGAAAAAAUCACUGUUCUAUAUGUGGCCAAUCGGGACAUAAUAAAAAGACAUGUACUAUGAAUAAAAACUUAUGAUUUUCACAUGGCCUAUUUUCUGCAAAUAUCUGUAAUUUGUUAUGAUUCCUUGAUUAUUUAUGACAUUUAACCAUUUGAUCAUACACAUGUUAUAUCCAGAAAAUGUCAUCCUCCAAAGAUCUUCGUGAGUCAUCAGCAUGCCAAUCAAGCAAAGAAAAGAGAAAAUAUAAUAGUCAUAACACUCUAAUAGACAAAUAUAUUGAUCCAAACAGUUGUUCAUGGUAUGGUCACAAGCGAUGUUUUUCAAAUCAUCCAAUUAAUGCUUGUUUGGAAUAAGGUUUUGCUAACCAUAUAUUUGUUGGAUAUCAUUCCAAAAAAAUUUCUGAUUUCAGAAAUGCGACAAUUGCUACUCAACCUGAUUGGCAAUGUUUGUGGGAGAUUCAAUCCGAAUUGGAAGCUUAUUGUGGUUACCAUGAGUUGCCUAUUCCAAAAGCUACAUCGGCAGACAUGACUCGCAAUACAUGUAAAGAAGUUAAGAAACUGAAGGAUCAACUACUUAAGGAAAUUAGGCUUAUGGAAAUGAGGCUAGAUAAAUAUCAUGCUGAACAAAGUGAAUUUCCAAGUGUAUACGACGAUAGUCAAUUAUCAUGUUCCAGCAAUUUCAACGUACACAAUAAUGACCUGUCUGAUUAUAGUGACAAUGAUUGUGACGAUUUUAUAAAAUAUUUGCCACAUUGUCUACCGAAAUGCUGUUGAAAUGUCUAGAUGCAUUUAUCGUGUUAUGUAAUAUGUUAACAUAUUGACAAUCGAGUUUAGGGUUUAGGAUAUCUAUUUUUGAGUUUAGGGUUUAGGGUUUAUAGUUGAUGGAACUAAUGUCUUCAUCACUUGUAUCAAAAUAAAGAAUUGCCUUGUAAAUUCACAUUAUUCUUUUAUUUCUGUUAUGUUAUCCUCAUGUCUAGCAAUUAAAAUUAUUGACAUAAGGAAUUGAUAGUUGUAAUAACCCUUUGCAGGAAUGGAGGGCUCAAAUGACAGUAGAUUAUUCAUCAACCCAGGACCACGUGAUACUUAAUUGCUAUAUCUCCAAGCAUCUCAUAGGUCCCAAGUCGUGUGGGAUGAUCCACAAGAGGCUGGUGUAAUCACAUGUCGAAGAUCCUUUACCGUAUUACACGUUCAUGAUAUUGAUGAUAGGCUUAUCCCUUAUUUCCGUGCUAGUGGAUUUUACGGAGCUGUUAGAUUAGACUUCUUCCACUUAGAUCACCACCUCAUAACGGCUUUGGUUGAGAGAUGGAGACAUGAAACACAUACUUUUAUGUUACCCUAUGGAGAGUGUACUGUUACACUUCAAGAUAUGUGACUGAUAUCUCGAUUGCCUAUUGAUGGCAAUACUGUUACUGGGACUACAGGACAACCUUGGCAAUUACUAUGUCAAGAUUUGCUUAGGUUGGUCCCGAAUCAUGAAGUUAUGAAGGGAAAUACCGUUGCACUCACCUGGUUGAGAGAUAACUUUGACCAAAUUCAAGAGUACGCUGAUGAUAUUACUAUUCAGAGGCAUGCUUGGGCUUUCCUAUUACGACUAAUAAGUGGAUCACUAUUCGUUGAUCGGUCUGCUCAUAGGGUCAAUCUAAUAUUUUUGCCACUAUCGCUAAUUUCAACACCUGUGGUCAAUAUAGCUGGGGUGCAGCCUGCCUUGCUUGGCUUUAUAAAGAGCUUUGCAGAGCAACAUCACCUCAAGUGCAGCAAGUUGGCGGGCCACUGCAUAUUUUACAAAUUUGGGCAUGGGAUAGAAUAAAAACAAUUGCCCCUACCAUCUCCCAGAUACAUCCCCUUCCAGAUACACCGAUUGGCAGUCGAUAUGUGCUGUAAAUUGUGUACUACUAUACCAUCAAAUCCAACAUCUUGUUACUAAUUCCAAACUAUAAAUUGUGUAGGUGGAGUAAUGCUAGAAGUAUUACCGAAGUUACAAUGCAUGUGCUAGUGCAACUUCGGUACCAACUUGACCGUAUGGAAGCCGAAGAGGUCAUCAUUCUAUACCUUUAAAUUAUAUGUCAAUUCAAAUGAUACAAUUUUAACAUUUUACAUUAUUUUAUCUACACAGUUUAUAUGGGAGCCAUACUCUGAUGUUGUGGUGGACGCUAUGCCAGAUUACUGUCUACAGGGUAGACAAAUAUGGAGAUCGGUUGUUCCACUGAUUUGUUUUUAUAUUGUUGAGUGGCAUCAACCUGACAGGGUGCUGAGACAGUUUGGAUUUUCUCAACCCAUUCCACAACCACCACGUCAAACAGAUGAUAUGCAUUCAAUAAAGGAAAAAUUACUUUUUAGUCCCUGAAGUUUAACGUAAUUAACACUUCUGUCCCUCUAUUUUGGCGACCCAACACUUAAGUCCCUCACUUUCUCUUCCGUCCGAAUUCGUAGUCCUUCCGUCCAAAAUUGUAAUACCCGGCUAGACUCCGGUAUCGGAAUUCCUACCGUCCGGUGGAAUCUCGGAUGUCGGAAACCUCUAGAAGGGGAAAACCAUGUUUUAUGAAAUGUUUUUAAGGUAUUUUAUGUUUUAAGUAAAAAGGAAAAUGAAUUUUGAAUGAAAAAGGCCUAAGGAGGCUUUACCAGGUUCGGCCGCCGAAAGUUAAGUUCGGCCGCCGAACAUGGAUGGGUUUUGGGAGCGCCUUUGGCCCCCGAAAGCCUUGUUUGAAAGACUUAAGGUUCGGCCGCCGAACCUCAUGUUCGGCCGCCGAACAUGCAUGAGAUGUGGGGGCACGUUAGGCCGCCGAAAGGUGGCAGAACCAGCCCUAUAAAAGGCCCCGUGACCGAAACAGGCGAGGUUUCCUCUCCCAUUUCGGCCGACGGUGAGCUCUAGCUCUCCUUUGGUCAUUUUAAGUGUUUUCCCUCAAAUCUUUCAGAUUUUUAACAAGUUACAUCUUGUUUUUGAAGAGUUUUGAAGUUAGAGUAAGAUUGGAAGCUUGGAGACCAAAGAGCGGAUUUCUCCCUACCUCCAAGCUAGGAUCGUUUUUCCCUCUCGAUCUUCAAGAGGUAAGCUUAGAUCCAACCUCUCUUGCAUGUUUUAAGAAAGUUUUAAGUAGACCUAUGGGGUAGAAAUGCAUGAGUAGGCUUAUUGAAGUUUCUUUUAUGUUUAUGGGUUCAAUGUGCAUGUUCUUGAGCAAUGUGCCUUGUUUGAGUGUUGUAGUUGGGGUUUAAGUUAGUUUGAGACCCUUAGGAGCUUGUAUGCUUGAGUAUGCAUGUUGUAGAAUAGGUCUUUGCAUGAUUGGUUGUGUAGGGGGUUGGAAUGAGCAAGAAGAACCAAGUUUUUGCCCUUUGGCAGAAACCAGGUUCGGCAGCCGAAGGGACUUUCGGCCGCCGAACCAGCUUGGGAGGCAGCUUUAGGCUGCCGAAGCCUGCCCCCGAAAGUUGGAGUUUCGGCUCUGUCCGAGACUUUCGGCCGCCGAAGGUGCCGCCGAACAUGCAUGAGUUUCGUCUCUGUCUGGGAGUUUCGGCCGCCGAAGGUGCCGCCGAACCUGCCUGACUUUCGGAUCUGUCUGGACUUUCGGCCGCCGAAGGUGCCGCCGAAAGUGCCCUGUCCAGACUUUUCUUGCAUGUUUUUACGUGAUGUUUUCAGGAUGUUUUAGGGGGUUUUUGGGGAGUAUAGUAGAGUUAUGUUUAUGUAUGUUUGGUCCCUCACUGGAGUCCACCUGUGUAGGAUUGGACCCGAGGAACCAAGGUGUUUAGCAGUGUCAACCAUUUCAGAAUCGGUGCAGAGUUAGUCUCAGGUGAGUGGAACUAAACCUAAUGUUUUAAACUAAGAAAUUAAAUGUUUUUAGAGCAUGAUCCAUGCAUCAUAAAUGCCAUGAUAUAUGUAUUAGGUUGUUUUGCAUUAGAACUCACGAAUAUGAUGCAUUGCAUAAUAUGUUGUUGAUGUGGAUGGAUGUUGGAUGAUCCUUAGCCCUCAGUAUGAGAUGAGAUAAUAUGAUAUGAUAUGCCAUGGUAUGAUAUGAGACAGAAAGACCAGGUCGCCCCUGGUACUAUGUUAUGUAAGCGAACACUAGGUGAGGCCUAAUCGCCCCUGGUGUAGUUGGACUUGUUAUGAUAUGAGUUAUGUAAGCGAAUACUAGGUGUGGCCUCAUCGCCCCUGGUAUAGUUGGACGUACUACAGUAUGUAGAGGGCUAUAGGUGACAAAUUCAUCCUUGAUGUGAUAUGUUUGUG